rnacentral:lncRNA from 1 species
CUGCCUUUGGGCACUAAGAAUAAGUACAAAAGAAUGGAUUCUCAAUUGACUGAUGGUGGUGAUGAUGAUUUACAUCAUCAGGUGGAAUUGGAGAAUAGGAGAAAGACUACAAGGAAGUUUGUUUUUGUUUGUGCCGUUUUUGCAUCUCUCAACAAUGUCCUCCUUGGAUAUGGCAAGAUUUCUGUUUUUUCCCGUUCAUGUGUUUACUUUGUUCAAUGAUAUGCCUUAGCACAAUGUUUAAUGGUUCGAGCCCGAACUCGAGCUCAAAGAUCUCGAGCUCGAGCUCAAACGCAAUUCGAGUAAUUUCGAACACGAGCUCGAAACUCACGAAUUUCUUACGAAUCGAAACUCACGAAUUUCUUACGAAUCGAAUUGGAGCAUUAAAAUUAAGAUUCGUCGAUCUAGAGCUCGAUCUCGAGCCUUAAGCACUUUGUCGAACUCGAACUCGAUCAAACUAGUAUUCGAGCUCGAUUCGAUUCGUUGACACCCUGUGUAUCUUCAAGCUGAGGAAGCCAGCAUGUUCUUCCUCCAAAUGACACCUCUUGCUACUUCGUCAACAUCGCUCCUCUGCAUUUCUUUCAAAAAAUUUUUUUUGGAACAAGAAAAGAAAGACACAAGGAUUUUGAGAGAUAAAGAAGAAGAGGCCGCAGUGGUGCCUUGAAAGUGUAUAGCCAAUUCUCCAUUCUUGAAAGUGCGGAAUUUUAUAAUGUUUGGAAUGGUAAUUGAAUUACAUAAAGUUACUUGGACAAAUAAACGAUUGUCAUUUGUUAUACCUGAAAUUUGAUUGAAAUAACAAAACAGUGGUUUUUCAUUGAAUAUUGAAGUGUUUUUGCGGGAAUUAAAUGCGGAAGAACACCUAGUAUAGGUGUUAAUUUAUGUAUCUUGAGUGGGGCAUUAAUUUACAUUACAAACUCUGUUUUAUGUACAUCUUUACAUGAGGACUUUGGAAUCAUCUUGACUUGUGAACGGAUCCUGGAGGUUCUGGACCUUGGAAGGAUCUUUACGCUUCGAUAGAUUAAUUCAUUAUGAUGCUCAGGUCACCCCGUCGGCCUUAGAAAUGCAAAGCUCAGAGUGGAAAAUCUCCAGGAAGUGAAAAUGGUCACUCAUGAAUUCUGCUUUGACAUGUAUGACAGUGUGGUAAAUUAGAGACCAGUUCCGGGUGACUAAUUCUGAGAAGUUUUUUCUACUAAUCUGCUAGAUAAAAAAUUAUAUGUGAGUUCUUGAUAAAAGUUAUGGGAAUUUUAAGUGAAACAGCUUUUUGAAAUUCGUGAAAAAACUUUCGAAUUCGGAACCGGUAACCACAGAGGUUGCAGUCAGCUUUGAGCAGUCUAAGAAAAUAGAUCGUAACAUGGUGUAGAAAUGCUGGAAUCAUUUGCCAUUUAUCUUCAAUGCAACUAGAGUUAUUGAGCUUUCUGCCAGUAUAAAUAUUCCACACUAGUUCUAUGUAGGGGCUCUAAAUUUAGCCAAAGAUUCAGCUCUGCGUUGAGAGCUUUGGGCCUAAUGAUGCAAUGUUUUCUCACCCAUAUUUGACUAGGUAUUGAUAGAAAUGUAGGAAUGAUUUCUUCCUGAUAUGUUUAGUAUUGAGACUAGUUUUAACGUGUAUGAGUUCAUAUUUAUACCAGUUCUCUAACUUAAGUUGUCAUGGUUAGACAAGAUGAUACUGAUCAGCUUAACAGGGUUUGGACAGAAAGUUGUUUUGGAUUUAGGUGCAAUUUUCAGUAACUUAUGUUUUGAAUCACACCAUAAUCACUUCAAGAGAAUUCUCGUACUCUGAAUCUAGCUUCUGAAUCUUCAAGAAUCAUGGUUACGAGAAUUUUAUGUCUCAACAUAUUGUGGUUUUAGCAUGAUUGCCCAACCUAAAAAUUUGCAGGACAGUUUGUAGGUGUACUAUAAACUCAUGGUGGAUUUUAGGUACCCUAGGAUGAUAACCUCAUAAUGUUUCCUCCACAAGAUUUUUAGUAUAUUGAACCACAUUUCCAACAGCAUCAAUUUCAUAAUUGAUUAUGCAUCAUUACAGUUUUUGCAGGGAACCAAUAGCUGUAGGCUUUUCCUGUCAGAAUUGCAUGGUUGAAAUAAAGACACUGUAACUUGACUGGAGAAACUCAAAAUUAAGUGCCGUUUGUUAUGUAUGAAAAUAGAUUCAUAGACAUUUAACUUGUAAAUUAUUCCAGUUCCAUUUAUACUCAAAUCACUUGAUCCCAAAGAUGACAUAAAAUCUGUCCUGAAAGAGAACGUUUAUAGUGAUCUUGUAAAUUUGUUGGGAAUUUUGAAUAGGUAAUGAUUUGAAUCUCCAAAUGAAUCCUUCCUUAGAUAUUUAGCACGUUAAUUUUGAUUUCACUUUCUCUAUUGAUCUGUCUUAUAUGUGUUAUAGAUCUCAAGUUAUGGUUUCAUGUAAGUCUACCUUUGUUGACUCUCUGAAACGUGUGAUAGAUCUGGAAUUUCAUAGUGAUGGUUAUGAUGACACUAUGAAUUUAUGAUCAAUUCUUGUAGACUCAGACCAUGAAUUCAGGAAUAUUUCCUUCAUGUGAGUACUAAUGUUCUAAAUGGAAUUUUUAAUGAAAUAAAGUUCUUAAUUGUUUGAUAUAUACAUUUCAAGAUAUGAUUACUUUGGUUAACAAUACUAGUGCUGCAAUUUUGCACUGGCACUUGAAAGGAUUCAUUAACUUUGAGGUCAAUUUUAGGCAGACUGAGGUUCAAUUCUAAUGCCAUGAACCUCAUUAGAAUACAAUGAGUGUGUUUGCAUAGGAGAUUAUGGAUAAACUUUUGAGAAAAAAAAAAAAAAUCCUGCCACAUUUUUUGAUGUGAUGUAUGCCAAAUAAAAAAGUAAUUAAAAGUGUAUUGACAAUACAAGGAAAUCAAUGUACGUAAAUAAAGUGUAAAUAAUGUGCAAUCCAAAUGAAAUACUUUUCUAUCUAGUUUCUAACCAUAUUAAGCAUAUAACCCUGGGACUUGAAUGUAUCAACGUAUGCUCAAUGCAAUUAGAACUACCGAACACUAAGCUUUACCCCUGAAUUUUUGCCAGUUCGAUAAUAACUUUCAAUGAGUUUACUAGAAUGCUGGCAUUCUAGUUUUGACUUGUCAUUAACAAAUAUUAGUAAUUUGAUCUUUUAUUUUCUAAUUUUUUUUCUUCAUUCUCAAUGCAUAAUUUAUUGAGGUGAAAGCUAUGUGGAUUAUUGCCAAUACUGAAUUUGGUAGCACAAUGUGUUGCUCAUUUGGUUGUCUUAAUUCACUUUUAAACUUAUAUAUAAAUGCUAUUGGAGUCCGAGUUUACUUUACUACACGGGCCAAUAUUGCUCGAGAUAUUCAUAUUAUUGAACUUGACAUCAUCAUAUUAUGUUACUGUUGAAGUGUUGACAGUAAUUGACAUGUAUUGAAAAUUAUUUGUGCGUGCUUGUAAACUCGGUUGUAUAUUUUAUCACAUUGGAGAGAACUGGGCUGUACCAUGUGUAGAUUGGAUAUAUCGACCCGUAACAGAGUUGAUCAAGAUGGUCUCGCCACUGUGAUUUCGCUAUCCACUUAUUAGUUGGGAUGGCCAGUGAGUUGUGGGUGAGUGACGUGUGGCCACUUGGAGUUUGGAUAUGCAAAUGACAAAGGUUUGGAGUCAGAGAUUGUUAUAUUUGUAGGAGUUAGAACUGCAUGUACUAUUAACUACUGUGCAGGAUUAAGUGCUAUGUUCCAAAAACGACUAGAGCCACCUCUAGAGCUCAUAAAAGUCAUGAAUAUAUACCUGAAAUUAAAUAUUGAACAGGGCAACCUUUAAAACCCGUGUUAAUACCUGUAUUUUUCUCUCACGUGUUAAAUUCUUUGUUUGACUCCUUUAUGCAAUUGUGAUGAUUUGGUGAAAUUAACCGUGCAUCAACUCAAUAAACAUUGUUGAACUUUCUGACCUUGAUAUAAGCUAUUGAAAAGUGCAUAUGCAAAUAAAUUUUAGAGAUUCAAUUGUUUUGCAACCUAGAACCUCAUUGGGCAUAAGUUCAUGUUAUUUGUUUCCAAUUUGUUUUUCCUUAGGUGAGAGAGAAUGAAAGUCGGAGGAGUAGAUGGCAAAGAAGGGCGCGGAAGUAUUUAUAAUUUGGAAGACUAGGGGGAGGCCCGUGCUAAACGUGGGAAUUUUAACUUGUGUUAUGAAAUAUUUAUUCAGAUAAAUUUAUUAAAAAACAUAGUAAAAUUAGAACUGAAUGGUAAUAGGUUUAAUUGAAUCGGUCGAAGUGUAUGGAAUUAUAAGUAAAUUGGUCAAAUCAACAAACUUAUAAUGGAAAACCAAUUUAUAAGCAAAAGAAAUAGGAUUAUCGUAGAUAAUCACACCAUACUAUUAUAAAUAAUAAUCAUAACAAAGACUUCAUUGCCUUUAUUACUAUACCAUUAUAACACAAUCAUGGCCAUAUCCAAUCAACAAUUAACAUGUAAACUAUAAGGUCAGAUUUAGAUCCUACCUUGAUCAUGAAAUUGUAGUCAAAAGAUAAUUUUUGCUCAUAAUUUGACCACCUACCGCCACAAACAUCAAAUUUUGGAAAUAUAGUUAGAAAAUGUAGGAAAGUUCCUAUUAAUAUUCAUGGGUAUUGAUAAGUAUGCAUCAUGUAUUCCAUAAUGAAAUUUUCAUAUUCAUAUAAUACUAAAAAAAAAUAUUGCAGUAGAAAACUCACAGUUUCGAUUGUAUCAGCUAAACAUCUAAAAUUGCAGAAAGAGAGAAAGUAAAUGAACAUAAAUGUCCAAACACCCACUACAAAAUAUGGAGCACAAGCACUUGAAGCAACAUUUUUCAAUAUAAAAAGCCUAUAUUAUUGUCAGGAAGUUGACGAGUACUGAAUUAUAUUUGUAACGGAUUGAAAAUAUGAACUAGAACCAAUCAUCUUCAUUAUUAGGAGCUUCCCAAACCAAUCAUCUUCAGCAUUAACACCCUCUCUUAUUAUACCUAUAAAAACUGCCCAACAAUUAUAGAAGAAGAUGAAGAGCACUAUAAUUACUUAUGAGUGAUUUAAACUGCACUUCAAAACUUGAUAAUCAUGUGGAAAACAAACCAAUUGCAUAUGAUUGGACACAAUACUCAAACCGUAUUGAAUUAGAUAUUACAAUGUUGUACAUUUGGUUUAAUCACUUGUAUUUGAUUUUUUUCUGCCUAAAUUAUCCCAAAAGAUGACGGAUGAAAAUUUUUCAACAGUCACCUAUAAACUCCUUUUUACAUAUGUAUAGGAUUCUAAUUUGCUAUAUUAGAAGUUUUGAACGAAGUGUUAAAUUGUAGUGUGUAAUUCAAUGUUUUGUUUUGACUACCAAUUAAGGGGAUAAAGUGAGAAAAAUAAAUUCAUUAGGGAUAAAUUGUAAAACAUACCAAACUUUAGAGGAAAUUGUUGUAAUUAACACUUAAUUUAAAGUUAGAGAACUUUUAGCACGUUUUCAAAGCCAAAAGGUUCAAAUGGUGGAAGGUUACUUGUGUAAUGAAAUGUGGCAAUUUUCAAACCUUUUGUGUGAUCACUCAAUUACACUUUCACAUUACCAAUUAACUUUCACUUCAAUUGUCUAAAUACAUAUUGUCUGCAUAAUUGUCCAUAAGCAUUGUGACCACUAAAGUAAUUAAAAUUCUAUUAAAAAAACUAUUAAAAGAUCAAUAAUGUUUACGUUUGUUUUUGUGUAUGAAAAUGAAAGUUUUACACUGAAUUCUUCCAUAUAAAAAAUUGUUCCUAAAUUGCAAUAAUUGAAUGUGAAUUGCCCACAGCCCAAGCCCGGACAUCAUCAGAUAAGAGUCUGCAACAGGUUAUCAAGAUUAAGGACUUAAUUGUAAAAUGUGGAAAUUGUUAGACUUUGAGACAAUUAGUGGAAAAUAGCAACUUUCGGUUAGUUAGAAAUUGGAACUGAUUCUGAACUUUAUUCCUAUACGAACAUCCAAUUUGUAACAGAAUAGGCGGUUGACGAAUUACAUAACUUCAUUUUCUUUUCUCUCAAUUUAAUUUUCUUUCCAGAUAGUUCUUGCUCUUCGAGGCCUCAACUCUUAAUCAAGAAACCAGGUCCGGGUCCUUCUUUUUCCUCAAAAUUUCCUACUUAGAACCCUAAUUUCUCUCUUUUUCCUAAAAAGGAACUGUAUAGGAAAUAGAUUGUCAGGAGGAAAAGGAACUGUAUAUGUAGCGUAGAAAAUUCUCCGCGGCGGCGAUUCGCUGCCUUUUGAUGAACUCACGUCGCAAUUCAUGUCCGAAGUCCAGCCUUCUAACAUCGUCGACUACUGUGGCAGCAUCUCAACUAGGUUUUUCUUUGUUUCUAAUCUCUCUCUCAAUUAGGUUUAUUCUUUUUAUCUUUUUCUUGUUCGAUAAGAGCCUGUAAAAUCUGGUAAAUGGCCCGUCCUUCCGUGUUAUUGAUUAGGUUUUCUGUAAGCAAAUUAAGAGUGGCAGUGUAAUAAGCUUUGUAGUUGGGAUAAAGGAAUUCAGUUUUAAUGAUUUUAAUGAAGAGUUAGUCCGUAAGGAUUUAUUUAGAAAAUUUUGUACUAUUUUUUUUAUUACCUCUUUGUAUGCUCAGAUGUCUUGUGGAUUAGUAGAAAAUUUCAGUUCUUUAGUAUUUCUGUGUUUGAUUGGCGCUGUCGAUGCUCAAAUAUCUGGCGGAUUGUGGAUUGAUUGACAUUUGAUUGCUAAUUAGGAUCUUAUUCAGUAAGUAAAUGGAUGAUUACAUCUGGACUCGUUUUCUUUGGGUAGAUUGUUGGAGUUCUGUUUGAUCUUCUUCGCAUGUUAUUGUUUUCAGUUACGAUUUAUGUGAGGAUGGAUAUUUUGUGAAAUUAGGAGUUGACAUUCUGAUGAAAACUAUUGUCUUGGAAUGCAUUCGUUUAUACCAUCUAGAAAGCUCAUCGCUAAUUUGCGUUUAAUUCAUGCAACAUAGACAGUCAGGAGUCCGUUAGUGGAAGUUGUUGCCAUCAUGAAGGUAAUCAAGUAAUUGGUGAUUGGAUAAGCAGUUCAAAGUUUGGGGCAAUGGAAGUUGACUUUGAGAAUAAAUUCAGUGGAAUAGAUAAAAUGUCUUCUAACUCUUUGUUUGUUUACGUAUGCCAUGGUUGAUGAUUUUAUAAUUUAGCAAUAUAUUUACUCUCAGUACUCUUUUUGGCUUGUGAAUAAAAACGAAAAUAAGAAGGUUAAAUUUUUUUUCUCCUAGCAUUUUUUAUUCUCUUAAUAUUUGGAAUUCUAAUCAUCAAUGAUUGCAUGUUCUGUUAUUGCAGAAUAUAGACCUUAGUCCAACAGAGCAUCUGGUUGGAUUUGCAAUUCUCCACCAGGCAUAUUCUUCCCAGCAGACUAGUUUGCACCCACACAUUUCUCUGCUUGUGGAAGUAAGUAUGCACAUGUCUUCUCCUCAUUGUAUUUUUUAUUCUCAGGGAUUUGUUUAUGCUCUUUUAAUGGCCAAUUUUUAAUAAUCAUGCGCUGUGUAAGAUGGUUCAGCUGUGCAGUGUGCACAUCAAAUGCAUUUUUUACUUUUUUAUUCAGCGGUUGUAGAAAAGCUGACAGUAGUAUUUUCAAUUAACGUUUUUAUGGAGUGCUAAGAGUCAUUGGACUGUCUGUCGUAUGAAACACUGAUAGUCUGGUGAAUUUACAUAAUCACAUGAACCUGAUGUGGAUGCCUAUUCAUUACUGUGGGAAAGACUGCUUUUGAAAGCCUAUAUUUGCUUCUAGAAUAAGAAAUUGUUGACAAAUUAAUAGUAACAAAUCCUCUCAUAUAGGCUAUGUGAUGUUGGCCUUUGUGAAUUUCUGAGGCUUAAAAUGACUUUUGUCAUGUCGGCUUGUGAUAUCUCAUCUUGCAUAAUCACAUGAACCUGAUGUGGAUGCCUAUUCAUUACUGUGGGAAAGACUGCUUUUCAAAGCCUAUUUUUGCUUCUAGAAUAAGAAAUUGUUGACAAAUUAAUAGUAACAAAUCCUCUCAUAUAGGCUAUGUGAUGUUGGCCUUUGUGAAUUUCUGAGGCUUAAAAUGACUUUUACAUGUCGGCUUGUGAUAUCACAUCUUGCAUUAUCACAUAUGAUUUAUAUACUAAGUUUAGUAUAAAAUGGAUGUGUAGUUGCUGGACUAGUAUCUGGCUCCCCCUUUCCACGUACACUGAAAGAAAAGCAAACAGAGAAGAGACAAUAAAUUGGAAAUUUGCCUUAAGGGAGAUGUUUAUAUUUUCUGAUAUGACAUUUUUGUUAUCCAUUUAAUGCUGCAGAUUUGACUGUUGCAAUAACUUUACUGUCUUGCUAUGGAAUGUUAUUGGUGAUGGUUGACUUUCAUAUUUCCUCCUGCUAUUGUGGGUUUGUAGGCAGCAUCCAAUGAAGAAGCUGAAAAAUUUGAAAGAGGUUUUAUUCUUCAGUUGUUAGGCUACACCAGCUCUACAAAUACAUCAGAGGUAUUGCUUAAUGAUCCAAUUUGCGUGUCUAGCUUUAUGGGGUUGAGAAGCUCUAAUGAUUCUGUCUUUGUCAGCUUCUAAUCAUUAUUGCUCAAGUUGAUCUAGGAAGGCAUGUGCUAGUGGCUUUUCUGUCUUCUAAUGCUUCUAAUUCUAGGUUAUUUUGGAAAUUUUGGACUAUGAAUUGUCUGUUCCAGCGACAUUUAGUGUGUAUUUUUCAUUUAAAUCUAGGGUGUUGGCAAAAGUAUAUUUUAGGAAAAUCUGCCUAAAACUUGUAGCAUAUUUGUUAUUGUUGGACAGUCAGAAGCAUAAGGUAUUGAUUAAGUACGUUGACCAGAAGCAGUUGAAGUACAUUAAGAAAAAAAAAAGAACACAUUACUGGCUGGUUUUUACGCGUACACUUUUUAGAUGAGGCAGUUAUUGAAUUCUUACAUUCCUGGAUCUUGUGUCCUGCAAAAUUUGCAGGAUGAUUUUGCAGGAAAAAAGUUUGUUGCACAGAAUAUUCUCAAUAAAUACUCAUUGACUGCCUGUUUUCUCUAAAGUUUUUCUUGUUAAACAAACUUGCACAAGAAAGUGAUUUCUCUUUACUUUCCUUCAUUUUAGCUUCCCAUAAAUAGAGCCUUUAAGGAACUUUUUUGGACUCAGGAUGAUGAUUUCAACAAACAAGUAGCACAGUGGAUGUGUUUAGCGUGGAUGAUGAUUUAGAAUUGUUCAUGUUUUUAGAGGGAAUAAAUAAGUGAUACUCUGAACAAUGACUCUCUCUCUCUCUCUCUCUCUCUCUCUCUCUUGCUGUUACCCACAUAAGAUAAAAUUGGGAAGUGUUCCAAUUGUAUUUCUUCUCUCUUUUCUUGUUUUAGCUUAUAUUUUUUGUAAUCUCUGGCGUUGUCCACGCCAACUUACAAGCUCAUGUGAUAAGAGACUAAAAGUCUUUGGCUACCCCUGUAGUGACAAAUGGUUUAUCGGCUGCACAUAUUUCAAGCACAUCAUAUCAAUUUUGUAGUUGUUCCUCCUACAAAUGCUUUUUAUUAAGUGAUGCAAAGCAGAAAAUUCCUCCUUUAUGUUGAGAGAAAUAUCCCUUACAGUUUCUUUUGUUUUUUCCCUGCUUUUUUCUUUUUUCUUGGACAAAUAUUUCGUUCCUCUAUUUGGAUAAUUGAAGAUCUGUGCGUUGACUGUGCAACUGGAGCUAAUCCAUCUAUAGAAAUUUCAUGAUCCUCUAGUUAUCCAUGGAGUGUUUAUUUUUUAUUCUAGGCUCAAAAUAAUUUUUCUGUUGGCUUUUCUUGAUGCAGUUCCUGAAAUUGUCUGCUGCGGACUACAUAAGAAACUUUGAUCCUUCAUUGCACGUGAGUCAUGUAUUUUAUCAUAACAUCAGACUUUACAUUUUCUCAACUAAUAUGUCCUGAUAUGAAUUUGUCAGACUUUUCCUCCUAGAGAGCAGCUGCAGCAGCAGUAUUGUAGUGAAGCUGGCCUAGUCAUUUGAACCUACUAAAGUUUCAACUGUUGAGGAUUUGAUUGCUAAAGGUUUGAAGGGGCCUCUUGAACCUGUUGAAGAAGAGGUGUUUAUACUGUCAUAUCAAUUUAUGUGGUGUUUAAAAUUGAAACCUAUUAUAUGCUGUGGAAAGUGAUUGCUAAAAUUUCAUAUCCAAACUGUUAUCCAGCAAAUCUUAUUGGGGUUGACAGCAAAAGAGCUAAAAGACAAGCUGCCAAAAGGAGAUCUGCCAGUAUGUUGUUUUAUGGGCCUAUUAAUGUCUUCUAUGUUUUUUUUUUUUGAUACCUAAGAGCUUUUGUAUUUGGUCAUCAGGAACUGGCGAAGAAUAAUCCUGACCUUGCUCUUCAAGUUCUCUUUAAGUUUCAAGAUUUAGAUGAAAUUUCAGAGUAUGUUCAUGGUUUGUUUGAACUUUUAGAAAAUUAUUAUUUUAUAAGAAUGGUAAUGAUGAAUUUAUUUUGGAAUGCAGCUAUUAUGAUGUUCUUUAUGGUAUGGAUGUGAACUCUAACUUGAUAGAAAUGGUUAACAAGCUUCCUAAAGAUGUUAAACCUACUAAACUUGGAUUAUUAAAGCCGUGGAUAGAACGUGGUUCAACUUUCUGGAAAGGCAAUAGAACGUGGUUCAACUUUCUGGAAAGGCAUCAAGGUCCUUACUCAACUAUCUACUGUAUUUACACAAUUUCCUCUAUCCCUUUUAUGUGUAUAAUUAACUCUUCACAUCGUGUUUCUUAUAUAAUCUGUUGCAGGAUGGUGAUCCUGAAACAGCAUUUGACCUUCUCUUUCAGCUUGCAGAAUUCCCUGGCAUGGGAGAGUAUGGUCUAAAUUCAUCUGAUCAUAUGAAAAUUAGAACCUGAAGUUAUCUAUGCUAAUGUGACAAAAUUGUCUAAAUGUAGGGAAUUGACCAGGCUUGUUAAUUCAGAUUUGAUUGAUAAACGUUUGAAAGGUUUUAAACCCCCACCUGAAUUCAUUCGGAAUUUCAUAAAAAGCUGUUUGCCAUCCACAGCUGAACCCACGGUGAUCAUUUGCUUAUUUACUGUGUCUAUUUUUGUAAGCUCUUUUCCCUUCCUUUGAGAGUUGGUGAACUAGAUAAUGAUUGAAUUUAUCUUUUUCAGGAUACGUCUCAUCAAGCAAGAUUGGUACUGUACUUCUUGAAUAAACUGAUCGACAAAGACAUUAUCAAGGGUAACUAUCCUUGCUUAAAGUUUUAACGUGUGAAUCUUACUUAUCCUAGAGCUAGGAGUUUGCAAUUGAGAUUCUAAUUGAGUUCCAUUGAUUUGGUCCACUUAUUUGUUUCCUGAUUGGACUGAUUAUUUUGUGGUAGUAGUUGUGUUGGGAGUUGUGGGCUGCUCUAAUUGAGUUAAUUUUUGCAUUUGUUCUUGGUGGUUGUUUUCUGAAGGUGAUUAUUUUACUGUUAGGUUGGGCUGCGUUUUUUAUAGCUUCUGGCUUUUAUUUUUUGGUAUCCAAAGUAGCUCAGAAUUGAUUAAUCAUUUUCUUUUUUUUUUUAAAGUCUGAGAUUUGGUGGUUCCCUGACUAUUUGGGUUGGUUUUUGUCUUUUAAUUUGUUAUUUUGUUGUUGCAUGUCUUGUUUGUAGAUGGUUUCAUAUGUAAAACUUGCAGUUUUGGGUUUUAUCUGAUUAGAGCCCUUUGUUUUUCUGUGCUUGAUUAAGAAGUCUAGGUUGAAGUAUGUAUUGUCUUUGUUAAAUUUCAUCAAGUAGAGUGUUGAGAAGGAUGAAUCUUGGUGCAAUUGUUUUUUCUUCGGGCAGAGGUUUUAUACAUCAGAAGAGGGUUUGUUCAAAUUAGAAAUAAAGUUCUCAGGGUGUGGUUGAAUUCAAAGCCAUAAUUUACAGAUAGAUAGUAUGUGCAAGUCUUAUGUGUUUCUAAUAUGCAUAAUUCUUCGGUCUUUGUGAUCUUCAUUGGUAUUCUCAGGGUGUGGUUUUUGGGUGGGUUCUUAGAGAGUUAGUUAUUUUGGACUGCCUGGAGAUGACAUAGGAUUAGUUAUUAUUCAGUUGCCAUUCUAACUUUUGCCCAACAUGGGGAACUUGAAUUUAAUUGCUUGGACUCCUUGAUCCUUUUGACAUUUGUGGGUUUGCAUUCCUGAUUUGUUCAUCUGAUUGUCGAGAUGGUUUGUAGAACAUUUCUCUUUUCAAAUAACAGUGCUGGAUUUUGUGAAGUUAGAUUAAGUUGCUUUAAAACCACUAUUAUCCAUAACAUGGAAAAGCAUAGAGACCUUUGGGACUAGAUGAGUGACACAAUUUUGGAUUGAUAGACUAUGCUUAAAUCGUACAAAUCAAUCUACAAGCCUCAUGUUUAAUUAAUCAUAUGAAUUAUUUUGUAAUUCUCAUUGUCUUUGAGCCGAAAACUUUCCAGUAUUGCAUGUUAUCAUUCUAGAGGCUAGAAUAUGUUAGUGACUUUAAGUGCGUAUGGUGGUCUUCAUUUUGUCUCUGUUAAUUUAUUGCAAUGAUGCUGUGCUUUUCCGUUUUGAAUUUAUUCAGUUAUUUAUUCAGUUGGAGGAAAUAUUUCCUUUCCUUUUUUCCUCCCUUAAUUUAUUUAGUAAGCUGACAUAUGCCUCCUUAAUGUAUUCAGGUGGAGAAAGCAAUUUCUUCUUUUAUUAAUUUAUGUCAUUGUUUUUCAGGUUCUGUUUAUCCAAGUCCAAGAUAAGGAUAGCGUUGAAAAUCUGUGAAUCAGUGGUCAAUUUAUGAAGAAAUUCAUCUUUUUUUCCUUCCCCUUCCCCUUCCCCUUCCCUUCCGUUUAAAUACAUUAUUUACUUCUUACCUUUCUGUCUAUAUAUUUUUCUGAAUUAGUGUCGGAGGUAAGCGUUUCAAUAUCUUCAGAUGAAGAAAAGAAGAAAACGAGAUUCUAUCACGACGUGCUUGGGAGAAAGUAAUUAAAUGCAUUGGUUGUGUGCAUAUGGGCGGUCUUCAUUUUUGUUUUUUUUGUUCCCCUUAGUUUAUUGCAAAGGUGCUUAGCUUUUCAUUCUUAAUUUAUUCAAUUGGAGGUAAUAGUUCCAUUAAUUAAUUAUUUCUUCCCUUAAUUUAUUUAUAUGAAACUCACAUAUGCCUCCUUAAUUUAUUCAGAUGAAGUUCACAUGUCUCCUUAAUUUAUUCAGGUGAGGGAGCUUCUUCCAAGCUUCUUUCAUGAGGGUAAUGGCUGGGUUUAUUUGAUCUAAAAAACCUGUAAAUCAAUGGUCCAUUUAUGAAGAAUUUAUCUUUUUCCUCUACCCUUUCCCUUUAUAUGUCUUACCUCUCUCUGUCUUUUAUUUUUAUUUUGAAUUGGUAUCAGGAGGUAAGCUUGUUCCUCUCCCUCAUCCUUAGCAUUGUUUAGCUAAAUUUGAUGUUUGGUUUAAUUUUUUCUAUGGAACCAGAGCCUCAUGUUAGGGACUUCUCAACGCUCAUUGAAAAAAAAAAAAAUCAUUUUGUUGUUUGAACUGGUAGAGUGGGCCAAAAGGUUCUGGCCGAAGAUGGACAUUUGACUAGAGUCGUUGAAACUGUUGUUUUCGACUGGUCGGACGUGGACAUUUGACAUGUACUUUUUGACCAUAUACAUUCAUCAGCAUUCCUUCAUAGAGUUUAGCUUAGCAUGUUGUUAGCAAGUGUUCAAAACUGUGACGUAUGAUGAGGAGAGACGAGUAACUGUGACGUAUUUUGCGAUGCUUGCAUUUUGAUGAAUUUGUUGUUUUUACAUGACUUCUGAUAUUUUCUCGAGAAAAUGUCAGUAAAAGGUUCCCAAAUAUUAUGAUUUGAUUAACAAAUUGGUAAUAUCUUGGAUUCAAUCAUUACCAAGGGCACCAUUCCCCCUUUUUCGUAGGAUAAUAUUUUUUUCUGAUUCCUUUUGGUCUUUUUAGUUUUUGACUGGUAUAAUAAAUUCAGUCUACAAAUGGUUGAUCUAUUGCCUUGUUUGACCGUAACAUUGUCUCUUUGUUAAUUCCAGAAGCAGAGGGAAAAAUUAUACAUAUAUAGGAGAGAGCUAUUGUACCAAAUUCAUCAAAAUUAUACAUAAUUUCAGAACCUUUUGGCUCACUCUACUAGUUCAAACAACAAGAGGGUUUUUCUUUUUUCAACGAACGUUGAGAAGUCCCUGACAUGAGGCCUCGGUUCCAUAGAAAAAAAUAAACCAAAUAUCAAAUUUAGCUAAACAAUGCUAAGGAUGAGGGAAAGGAACAAGCUUAUCUCCUGAUAUCAAUUCAGAAUAAAGAUAAAAGACAGAGAGAGGUAAGACAUAUAAAGGGGAAGGGUAGAGGAAAAAGAUAAAUUUUUGAUAAAUGGACCAUUGAUUUACAGGUUUUUUGGACCAAAUAAACCUAGUCACUACCCUCAUGAAAGAAAUUUGGAAAAAGCUCCCUCCACUUGAAUAAAUUAAGGAGGCAUAUGUGAGCUUCAUCUAAAUAAAUUAAGGGAGGAAAUAAUUAAUUAAUGGAACUAUUACCUCCAAGUGAAUAAAUUAAGAAUGAAAAGCUAAGCAUCUUUGCAAUAAACUAGGGGGAAAAAAAUAAAAUAAAAUGAAGACCACCCAUAUGCACACAAUCAAUGCAUUUAAUUAUUUUUCCCAAGCAUGUCGUGAUAGAAUCUCGUUCUCUUCUUUUCUUCGUCUGAAGAUAUUGAAAAACUUGCCUCUGACACCAACUCAGAAAAAUAUAUAGACAGAAAGGUAAGAAGUAAAUAAUGUAUUUAUAGGGAAGGGAAGGAAAAGGUGGAAGAGGAAGGGAAAAAAGAUGAAUUUCUCUAUAAAUGGACCAUUGAUUCACAGAUUUUCAACGUUAUCCUUAUCUUGGAUUUGGAUAAAUAGAACUCUUGAUAAUGUCUUUGUCGAUCAGCUUAUUCAAGAAGUACAGUACCAAUCUUGCUUGAUGAGAUGUAUCCGUGAGUUCAGCUGUGGAUGACAAACAACUUUUUAUGAAAUUUCAAAUGAAUUCAGGUGGGGGUUUAAAACCUUGCAAACGCUUAUCAAACAAAUCUGAAUUAACAAGUCUGAUCAAUUCCUCUCCCAUGCCAGUGAAUUUUGCAAGUUGAAAGAGAAGGUCAAAUGCUGUUUCAGGAUCAUUAUAAUGAAGCCUGCGUGUGAAUCAUUAUAAUAAAUAACUUGGAUAAAAAAAAAGUCUGCAAAUUGAUACUUGAAAUUACAUAUGAUUUUGGGUUUAAAUUUCCCCCCUUCUUCCCAACUUCUUAAUUUCUGCCCCCCUCAUGCUAGGGUGGGGGACAAAAAUAAAACUGGAAACUAUAUCUACUAGUCUCAUGCUAGGACAAAAACCACCUUGAAACUACAGUUUCAAAAACUUUUUCAGUAUAUUUAAGUAGGUAAAUUAUUACUAAAUAAUUUUAUUUUAUGGCUUCCAUUAAUUCCAUCUUUACACUUUAUGGACGAAAAAUCACCAAGAUCAAAACAGUAAUGCAAUUUUCUUUGUUGACGUUGAGACCAUUAUUAGAACUAAUUUCAUUUCAGGUCUUCUAGCUUCUAGCUAAUUCUCCAUGUAUGUCGUCAAUUUUAACUUGGAUGCAUUGCAUGCUAAACUUUUUACAUCUUCCUUUUUUUUUUAUUUGUUAUCGUGGGGGAGGUCCAACUAGACUAAAAAAUAUUAGAGGGAGUGAUUUCCACCUCUAAAUCAAAAGGAUACACUGUUGCACACCCUUCGAUUUUUAUAUCUUUCUCAUUUUGAUCGAAUUGUUAACAAUAUUAGGAAAUUAAGGGAAUGUUUAGCACGUGCAUAGCACAUCCCUAAUAGAUAGCAAGUCAAAUUUUAUUGUGGACCACUUGCCUAUUACUCGUUUCCUUUGGCUAUUCAUUUUUAGAUUUUGAGAUUAAGACCCUAACUCUUGGUUUGUCGAUAGUGUAAGCUUCAAUAUAUUAGUUGAUCUUUCUUUGAAUCUGCAAUUCAAGAGCAAAAAAAAAAAAUUCCUUCAAUGUAUUAGUCAAUCUUUCUUUAAAUUUGCAAUUCAGGAGCUAAAAAAGAAAGAAAAAUUUCCCCUUCAAAAGUUAUGGUCAACCACAGGCUAAAUCCUAAGAAUAUAAAAGGACGAGUAGGUCUUAUGAACAGUACUGUGGUCCCCUAUCAGCAUCUUUGCUAUGUGGAUAUUUAUGAAAUUUCAACUAAGCAAAAAGGGGGCAAUUGUGGAGGUCGGAGGUCAAGGGUUCGAUCUUUGUCUUCCACCAGUCACUAUUUAUGGCUUUCCCCUCUCCCUUCCCCUAGAUUAGAUUAGAAUAGGUUAUACAAAUAGUUAUCGUUACUGGCAAAAAAAAGGGGGUGGGGCAAUCAUGGGAUUUUCGAUCAAUUGUGCCUUUAUCAUCUUACAAACUCUCUCUCACGUUGACAAAUGUCGCAAUUGCAAGCCAUUGAUUGAAUCCCCCUUUCUCUUAGGGUCGUCUUUUGCCACAAGCUAAAUGUAUACAUCAAGUCAAAGAUGAUUCAGAAGAAAAAUUUUGCACGCAUGCUAUAUCGACAUGGCCACAGUUUCAAAACCAUUGGCUCUAGUUUAAAAGUUGAGGGUUUUAAUUCUUCUGAAAGGUGGAACUAGUACUAACCCUUAUAAUGACGAUUAUGGUUACGGUUCUUGAAACCUCCAGUUUGGGUCUAGUUAUGGUUUUGAUUUCUUUUGAUUACGGUUCAUUCUUUUAAUUAUGCUUAAAUACUUGUUAUUAUGAAGUUGGUUCUAAGUAAAUAUGACAAUGAAUAUUUUAAAAAAAAAUAUGAAUUUUAUUAUAUUAUCAUGUGACCAGGAAAAAGAAAAUAUGCAUAUUUUAUGAAAAGAAAUACCUUUUAUAUUGAAUGUUUUAAAUAAAAUUUAAAAAAAUACAUAGUUCUCUCAUUGUUGAAAUAGAGAAAAGGAAAAAAAUCUUAAUUAAUUAAUCAUCAUCAUAAUGGCUAGUUGAUAGGUAUGGGGUGUGCAUAUAAAAAUAAUCUCGAUCUCAAGUUUUAAAUUUGUAAUUUUCUAAAUAUCCACAUGCAACUGCAAGUAUACAUGUCAUGUUCGAAUAUAGAGUAUUAAGGGUUGAUCCCAUAGGAAAGAGUAAUCCAUUAUCGAUGUUAUUUGAACUUCUUUAUUAUUUAGACGCUUACUAAUGCGAGAAAGUAAAUGUAAACUACAAACAUACAAUAAAAAGGAAGUAAAUCAAUAAUAUAAAGCUCCUAAGGAAUGGAAUUUCUAACCACUCUUUGCUAGCAAUAUUACUUGGGUAAUUGAACACUAGUACCUUGAUUAGUUAUGGUUUAAUUUUCUUAUGAAUGUAAAAUCUACUCUCGUAAUGAAUCAACUAUACUUAUAACAAAUUCAUUUCUAGUCUCAUGGUUAUGAAAUUAGCUACAAGUUCAUGACUUCUAUGAAAUUAUUAUAAAACAAGCCACAAAGUUGCAUUUUCUACUCUCGUGAGUGUACUCCUUAAGUUUAGCACUUAUUUGAACUAAUAUUGAAUUACAACUUUCAUUGAUAAUCCAAUAUUUUUAAAUAAUCACAACUAAUAGCCAGUUAAUCAUAAUUGUAAGAACAAAAGUGUUAAAUAAUUAACUCAAAGCAAUAGCAUCAACUUCCCAAGCAAAUCUCACAAACAAAUCAUAGAAAGUUCAUCCAAUCCAAGGCAUGAAACUUUAGUUAAACAUAAAGCAAAUGAAAAUACAAUCCAAUCUUGUAUUAAAACUACCAAAGGAAUCAAAUAAAAGAGUUAAAGUGUUAGAAAAGAUCAAACCCUUGUCACAAGAGCUCAACUUUUCCAUCUUCAUUUCCCUUUGCUCCCUUGUUGAGCUAAGAAGCCUAAGGAUUUCUAGAUUUAGAUCUACAUUUUGAUGGUGUUUUUCUUCCCCUUUUUUCUCUCCAAACUUUGUCCAAGAGGAGUCCCUGUUAUAGGGAAAAGAAAAGGCUUAAUUAUUGUGCAAGUUGCACAAAUUGCGCUUCUUUUCUGACUCAAAUCCAGUUGACAAUCCGUGAACAAAAUUGUUGGCUGGUUUUCUCCCCUAUUUCUGCUGAAAAAUUGCAAAAAAACACUUCGAAAGUGGAUCUGCAAGUGGAUCCACGGACUUGAGGUCCGCGGAUCCAUCCGUGGAUCCCUUAUUUUCCUUUAUUCUUCAUUAGUCAUCUGCUCUCUGCCUACAAUCCGUCUAGGAAUUUGGGCCCAGAUUAAUAUGAACAUUUCUCCAUGGAGAAAGCUAAAUUAUCUCUUGUGCAAAACAAAAAGUUAUAGUCCCUUGAGAUACUUUCCAAUGGCUCAAGAAUCAAGUCAUUUCGAGAUCUGGGGACUAAGUUAUGGCCAAAACACUAAUGAAUGAUUAGAAAGCAUUGUCGAAGAAAAGUGAUUCAGUAAUUUGGACUUUAGUCUAUGAAAACGCGAGAACUAGAUUUUGGUUCUUCAUAAGAAUUGUAGUCCUUCCUAUUAGCUUUAACAUGGUUUAAGAAUCAUCUCAAUCCAUGCUUUGUAGCUUAAGUUAUAGCCAAUGUACCAAAAUUUAUCAUUAUUGCCAUUGCUUUUAUUCGUGUUUCUUGCGUGCAUUUCAUCAUUUGGUCUUUCCUGUCACAUGAUUUUCACUUCAAAUCAUCAACAAUCAUGCAAGUAUCUUCUCACUUCCCUUCAAUUGAUGAUUGAAUUAUCAAAACCCAUAACAACAUGAAAUUUCCACACUUAAGUCCAUAGAAAUGCAAAUUUUCUUACUUAACCACAGAAUGCAAAACUUAACUAAAAACUUAGGGGCUGCUUGGUUAAAGGGUUUGAGAAUCAAAUAAUGGAAUGAACCCCUUAUUUGUUGCUUGGAUUAAGUCUAUUGGAAUGCAAUUUCUGGAAUCAUUUCUAAAAAAUUGGACUUUCACCAUUCCUGAGUAAAUUGAGAGGUUUUGGACAAAACUCUCAACUUAUUCCCGAGCAAAAACAUUUAUGACGAACCUACCCUCUUUUUUUUUUUUUUUUUUUCAUUACACGCCGCACCUUCUGUUCUUCUUCUUCAUCAGAUUUUCUACCUCUUCUACUUCACCGAUUGGACAAUCAUAAAGAUCAGUGGAUUUCGACUCUCCUUGGAUAACAAAUUCUAGAGUUGAAGAGUCUUCUACUAGGGUGAAUUCCUUGAUCCCAGGUCAGUGGAUUACAAACUCCCUUGCCUCUGCAAUUUUCUUUUCGUAUGCAAGCUUUUCUCUUUCUUCUUCUCUGUUUUUUCAGGCUACUCACUGGGUAGCUAAAAAUAAAGAAGAAAAGAAGGGAAUCUGAUACAAUAACACUAACUGGACCAAAAUGCUAUGCUCUGGACCCAUCACAUUCUCACUUUUAUUCCACUCACGCUACACAAUCUGUCAGUUUUGCAAAAAAGUCUUCCUUCCAUGAAUUCAUAUUCUUUUGUCACAAAAUCCAAUAAGAAAUUAAUUAAGAAGAUUGCUUAGUACUUUACAGAUUAUUGCCGCAACAAAUACACUAUUAUUGGUGAGAAUAAUACAUGUUUUUAAUCCAUGUAUUUUGUUGUAAUACAUGUAUUUUAAUUCACGUACUUCAACAGAUGCAUUAUUUUGUUCUUUUUUUUGGUGAGAUAAAUGUUAACGUCACUAGAUUUGUCAUUUUUAUGUUUUUAAUGUGUUUUCUUGGAUUACGCAUUCAAUGGAGGCCAAUCAAUUCUUGAUCUUUUGGUUAUUUGAUCCGUGAAUACUGGUAUAGUUUGGGUGGGUUUCUACAUGCCCUGUACCUGUUUGUAAAAUUGUCUGCUUGAAUAGCUUUCAGUUUCAUAGUUAUUCGUACAUUAGGAUUUCAAGUUUCAACCAUCAAUUUCGUUUGUUUAUGCUUAUUUAUAUCUACACAUCAUUGUGUUUACGGAUGUAUGAUGCAUGUCUAGGCCCUUUUAAUAAGAUCAAUUGAUGUUUAAUGCAUUUGAAGAUUUUGAUGCCGUAAUCUAGUUUGGUGAAUACUUACGUUUGGUUGUCAUAUUGUUAUGUAGACAAAGAUGCCACGUUUGCCUAUUGAAAACUGAAGACGCAAAAAAUAUCGAGGGCAAAGCCAGAUUUUAUCAGGAAUGAUAAUGGUUGUUAUUGCACUGUUUAUGAUGUGGUACCAGUUAAUAUUCAUUCAUCUCAAAAGUAGAAGACGCCAAAUAAAAUCAAAAGAAGAAAAAGUCACUGAGCGCUUGCAACACUUAUUCAAUUUGACUAGGGAGAGUGAUGCUUAUUGUAUUAGCGAACUUCGUAUGGAUAGACGAACAUUUGGGAUAUUAUGUGAAAUGAUUAGAGACACUGGAGGCUUGAAAGCUACAAGAAACAUGUCAAUAGAAGAAAUUGUUGUCAUGUUUGUAUAUGUUUUGGCUCACCACAAGAAAAGUAGAACAAUUUGUGGUCUAUUUUGGAGAAGUAGAGAAACGGUGAGUCGUCAAUUUAAUCUUUGCCUCCUAGCAGUUUUGAAAUUGCAUACUAUAUUACUUAAGAAGCCUGAGCCUAUUACCGAAGAUUGCACAGAUGAGAGAUGGAAAUGUUUUAAGGUAAUUCAAACAUUAAAAUACAAUCAUUUAAUAAAAUGUAUAUUUUCAUCUAAACUAUCCAAUAUAGACAUUUUAACUCAUUUAUAUUUUUUAUUUUUGUUAAAAUAGAAUUGUUUAGGUGCCUUAGAUGGGACAUUAAUAGAUGUGACACCACCCACCGAACAAAAAUCAAGAUACCGAACGAGAAAAGGAAGUAUUGCAACAAAUGUAUUAGGGGUUUGUUCUCCUAAUAUGCAAUUUAUCUAUGUCUUGCCUAGUUGGGAAGGUUCGGCACAUGAUGGUCGUGUGCUUCGAAAUGCUAUCUCUAGACCAAAUGGUCUUAGAGUCCCACAAGGUAAACAUAUAUUGCAGUAUUCAAUACCAUUCAAUCAAUUUUUUUUCGAAAAUAAGGUAGUCUAGUAUUAAUUUGUGCAUGAUUGAAUUUUGAAGGUUGUUAUUACUUGGUGGAUGCUGGAUAUUGUAAUGCUGAUGGAUUUCUUGCCCCUUAUCGAGGGCAAAGAUAUCACCUUAAUGAAUUCAAUGGUUAUCGACCACAAAGACCAGAGGAAUAUUUCAACAUGAAACAUUCUAAAGCUAGAAAUAUCAUAGAAAGAUGUUUUGGAUUGCUAAAAGGAAGGUGGAAGAUUCUAGCAUCCCCUUCAUUUUUUCCAAUUCAAACACAAGUGCGAAUAAUUAUGGCAUGUUGUCUGCUGCACAACUUGAUAAGGAAGUUCAUGACUUUUGAUCCACAAGAAUUACUACAAAGUGAAGAAAAUGAAAGUGAAGAUGAAGACAGUAAUGAAGAAGUGGAGUACAUAUCCACUAUUUUGCCAAGUGAUCAAUGGACAAAUUUUAGAAAUAAUUUAGCACAUGAAAUGUUUGACAAUUGGAGGGCUGGACUUAGUAUUUAGCUAUGAAUGGAUGUUUUGCUCUUAGACUCAUUAAAUUUGGAUUGACAUUUGAUAUACUCUUGUAGUGGAUUUGUGAAUUAGAUUGACACUUGAUGUAUGUUCUUUUAAAUUUGGAUUGACUUUUAAUUAUAUGUUCUUUUAUGUGUUUUGUUAUAUUAUAAAUUUCAGUUAUAUGCUAUUGUGUAUCAAAAUUAAUUGAUAUAUAUGGGUUGACUUCUAAAUGAUAGUAUGGAGAAUGAUGAAAUUGUACGUGGAAGAGGGAAAAAUAAAUGUUUCUGGACUGGUGAAGAGGUAAACGUGCUCAUAAAAGCAUUGCAAGAGUUGGCUUGUGAUCCAAUGUGGAAAUCAGAUAGAGGAUUUAAAAAUAAUUAUAUGAUCGAAUUGCUUAAAAUUAUCUUGCAUAAGUAACAUACUUUUACCAAACAAGUCAGCCCACAUAUUGAAUCAAAAGUUAAGUGGCUGAAAAAUAGGUUCCAUGCAAUUGUUGAAAUGUGCAAAGAAAGUGGUUGUAGUUGGAAUGAUGCUGAGAAAAAGAUUUCUUGUGAAAAACAGUGGUAUGAUGAUUGGUGCAAGGUAAGAAAUUGAUUACUUUUUACAUUCUGAUAUGUUCUUUUUCAACCUUUUAUUAAGAUUAUCAUUUAUCUUUCUAUUCUAUCUCUAGACUCAUAAGGAUGCGAAGGGCCUUUGGGAUGUCAAAUUUUCAUAUUUAGGAGAUCUUGAAAUUGUAUAUGGAAGAGACAGAGCCACUAGAAAUGUUGCUGAAGAUUUUGCACAAGCUGUCAAGAUAUGGAAGAUGUCCAAAAUUUGGAGGAAGGAGAUGAAGGGCUUGAUGCUAUGUCAAACUCGGAUAAUGAUAAGGUAGAAGAAGAUAAAGUAAAUUCCAUGGAGCAAUUAACUCAACCAAGCUCAACAAGCACAAGAAAUUCCAAGAAACAAAAGAAACAAUCACCUCCCAUUGCAAAUGUGUCAAAAAAAAUGAAAUCUGCAUCAACAACAAGGGGUGAUCUUGAUGCAUCAUUGCAACUUCUCACCAGCAAAUUUGGAGAUUUCGUGGAGGGAAUUCAAGCUAAUUUAACAACUAUGGCAGCAGCCAUGUCAAAUGAGGAUAAACGUGAGCAAUUGGUCUCUGAUAGAAGAGAUCAAGUUGUUGCUGAGUUAAUGAAACUUGCUUUAUCGAGUGGAGAUGUAAUGAAUGCAGCCGACAUAUUUUCGGAGCAGAUUUCCAAGCUUCAUGUGUUCUACAAUCUUCCUGCAGAAAUGAAACGACAAUAUGUAAUUAACCUCCUUUAUCCUCCAUCUACUCGCUGAAGUAAAAUUAUUGUUAGCUGGAAAGUGAUGAUUUGAUGGCAAUUUCUUUUUGUUAUGGUGAUUGUUAGAUGGUUAUAUGAUUAGUCUUUUGGAGAUUGUGGACAUUGAGUGGCACUCUCGACUGGAUUAGACAAUUGAUUUGUAUUUGGUAUGGCUAGCUUUUGUGAUUUGAGUCUCCUUCUUUUGUUCAUACAUGUAAGGAGAGAUCUAUUUCAUAUCAUUAUCUAAUGUAGGAACCACAAACGACUUGUUAAUGGAGUAAAUUUCCAAAAAGAAAGAGUUUUUAAACUAACUUCCUAAAGGGUGGCAAUUUUUGAGUCUCUUCCCAAAGAGUGAAAAACACAUUCAAGAAAUGCGUUCUUCCAAAUAAAAAUGUAACUUUCAAAUACGUUAUUUUAAUUUUCGUAAAUUUGUUUAAAUAUAAAAAAUUGGUUAAAUAGCGUAUUAAAUACAAAACCUGCUAAUUUUCCAUAAAGAGCUGGUAUCUUAUGGGCAAUUUCUUUUUUUUUUUUUUUUUAACUUUCACAUAUUUAAUUUAUGUUAAAUACAAAACAUACUACUAUUCUUUUGGACGCUAUUUAACCAAUUUUUUCCAUAAAGAAUUGGUAUGUUUUCCAUAAAGAGUUGCUACAAAACAUACUACAAAACCUGCCAAUUUCCCUUAAAGAACUGGUAUCUUAUGGGCAAUUUUUUUUUUUUUUUUUUUUAACUUUCACAUAUUUAAUUUAUGUUAAAUACAAAACAUACUAGUUUCCUUUGGGCACUAUUUAAUCAAUUUUUUCCAUAAAUAACUGGUAUGUUUACCAUAAAGCUGGUACAAAAUAUAUUACAAAACCUGCUAGUUUCCCAUAAAGAGCUGGUAUCUUAUGGGCUAUUUAACCAAUUUUUCAUAUUUAAACAAAUUUCUAAAACAUAAAAUAACGUAUUUGAAAGUUGCGUUUUUAUUUGGAAAAACACAUUCCUUGGAUGCAUUUUUCACCAUUUGGAAAGAGACUAAAAAAUCGUCACCUUUUGGGUGAUUGUUUAAAAACUCCUUUUUUUGGGAAUUUACUCCUUGUUAAUGCAACCACUAUAUUUAUUUUCUGGUAUUAAUUUUUUUAUUAUUUAUGAUUUUCUUAUAUUUUAUCAAAAAGUUAAUAACUAUUGUAGUUACAAUUAUGAAGAUGUUAAUUUGUCGUAUGUGUAAUAACUAUUGUUUUAGAAGAAUUGUUAUAUCAGGGGUAAAUUUGGAAUUUAAUUGCAUUUAAUUCCGAAAAACUCAUCAAACCAAGCAUCAGGAAUUGGAAUAAUGCUAAUUCCAAUGUGUAAACCAAGCUAGAUAUUGAAAUGAAAAGUUUUAAUUCCAAAACCAGAGUCUAUGAUUCCAUUUCCAUUUCCGAUUUCAAUCUGUGAAACAAGCAACCCCUUAGUUAUUAGACUCAAAUUUAAAUGAAAACACACUAAAACACACAUUAACAACCAUACACAAAUAUGUAAAAUGAGCACUUAUCACUAGUCAAACUCAAAGUGUCAUCAAGUUCUAGUUUAAUACUUAGACUGCUUUGACUUUAACAUUUUGGUUAGAUUGGACUUGGACAUAAAUUACUUAUUUUGUCUAGAUUUACUACUAAGGUGACAUAAUAGGUUGUUGGACUAGAACUCUGGUUGAUGGUACUGGGUGGUGGCUAUUGACAUUAAACUCUAGAUUGAGCCAAAUAGGCCCAAGAUAUAAAUGUAUUUUUAGACGGAUUGAAUAGGCUUUGAAUCUCUAGUUCUGGUUCAAGUUUUUUGUGAAUCUAAACCUAAACCUUUAGUCAUGUUUAUGGUUCCAUUCCAAUUUCUCAAAUCCAGUUCUAGUUUCGGUUCAAUAAACCGUCGAGCCAAUUCCAGUUCCAAUUUGAACAAUGGCCACCGCUAAUGCUACGUAGUGAUAGCUUUUGUUCGUGUAUAUAUAAACUUGACUUCUAUUAAGUGAGAUUCUAAGUUUUCUCAUGUAACUUGUUUACAUAGAGAAAAAAUUGUAGGAAUCUAUGACUAUUGAGAAGGAUAUUUUUCUUUUACAAGUUAUUUUAUUCCUCUAUGAGCUUGUCAAUGAAUUUUAUUAGAGGUUUCCUCUAAGCUUUUCAAUUUCAAAUUUCAAGUAAUUAAGUUCAUAUUAUCUAUUUUUAAUUUUUUUGUAGUCCAUGUAUCUAGUGUUAUAGUGUUCCCUUUUUCCUCUCAUCUCUUCUGAAAUCCAAUCCUUCUUUUAAAAAAAUUGUCACAUAGUUCAUUUACUAUCGCAUGAAAUUAGUUACAUGCAGUAAUUGCACAUAGUAAUGCCUCAUAUUCUCACUUUGCUUUGGAUCUUUGGUUAUCAUAUCUUAACUAGUUUCUCACUUUGCUUUGGAUCUUUGGUUAUCAUAUCUUAACUAGUUUCUAUGCAUGGGAACUUUUUUAUGUUCUAAAAUUAAAAAAUUAAAUAAAUAAUCAAGAAAGACUCGGAAUGUCAAUGGUUCAGGAUGAAUCAGACUUGAUAAACUAGGAUUUCUUAGUUUUUCGUGCAAGAGCUUGUUGAAUGUCAAUGUUUUUCAGGAACCUUUGUACUUUCAUGAUGAUAAAUAACAAAACAAGUUUUGGUUAAAAAAAUAAUCAAGAAAGAAUAAUCGAUAUAAAUGUAUAUAAAGUAGCAAUAGAUUGAAAUUUACACAAAUAAAGAAGUAUAGAAUGAUAAAAAACUAACAGUUUGUCCAUUUUGUGGUAAGGGUAAUAAUAAUCAAUGUAACCGUAUAUAAAGUAGGGAAUUAAUAAAUUGAAAUAUACUAUAAAAAAGGAAGUAUAAAAUAAUAGGAAAAAAAUGAAAGCUUUUCCAAAUUUCAUUAAUGAUAAUAAAUUAUCAAUCUAAUAAUAGGAAUAGAGAAUGUGAUUGUUGAGAAUUAAAAUAGGAAAACUAUUGACCAAAAAAUUAAGGCAUAACUUAUAAAAAUGUAUGUAAAAUAGGUAAUUAAUAGGUUUGUGAUGACCCCACCUCCCCCGGGGCGUACCCAAGGGUUUGAUGGACCGCCGCCCAACUCUUGCCAAAAUUCACUCACGCACUACGAAAUUUACAAAACAAUAACCUCAAUAAUAAUAGCAAUAACAAUAACAACCUUAGAUAUACACAAUCGUAGACAUCAAAUACCCAUACAAUCUCUAAUUACAGCCAAGCAGUCAACCUUACAAAAUAAAACCAAACAAGCUCGCUAGAGAGCUAAGGAGUGUUCACACGAGCAACUAAUAAAACAUAGACAAAUGCCAUGCCUUCUCCAACUCCCAUUCUCACGUUCUCAACCCUGUACGGAAAACAAAUUAAUGGGAUGUGUUUUCGUCCAGUGAGGUUCCAGGAAAACAUGCAAGUAAACUAGCAUACGUGAUACGAUUCAUAGAAUAUCAAGAAGCAGGUCAUAUCCAGAUAGAUCAUGACAUAAUAUUCUAUAAAGCAGGUAGUCAGAUAGAUCAGGUAAUAAUGUACAACAAAUAACACAUCAUAUCCAAGGAUAUAGUCUGCUCUUAGGAGCAGGUUCCACAACAGCUUGUCCAGGGUCCGUUGACACUACGUCAACCAUGGAAUUAUAAUGUUUAUAGAUCACCACUAAAUGCCAAUCUCCAUCCACCGAUCAUUCUCCUAUCGGGCCCGAAUGCCAAUCAAGUAUCCAGGAUUCGUCAAUCUCCUCGACCAAACUCUUGCCGGAUCGAUUCAACCAACUAGCCAUGGGUUGGGCUUAUAGCCCCAAGUAUCCAAGUAUUCAUAAUUUGGGGUUAAAAUUCCAAGUAUUCAAGUAUUCACAAGUGGAGUCGUUGGCUGUCAUCCAAUGCUCACGUAAGUAAUGAUUGGAGCCAUUAGCUAUCACCUAACGCUCCGUAUCAAUCAUAUCACAAGUUCAAGCCAUGAGUUCAAGUCAAGAGUAAACAGGUUAGGAAAUUCUUCCUUUACCUAAGGCUGUACAGCUUACCUGACCGCUCUAAGGCUGGUCACAAGUAAGAGUUCCAACGAAGAGCCCAGUUAAGUUGUUACCAACUUACAUUCACGCAUACGCAUGAGUAACUCAAGGCUGUCUAGCUUCCCCGAUGUCUUGGAUAAGGGUACUAGCAAAAAGCCUACUUCAGCCGCUAUAAGGAGACAUACAGCCGGCCUACAAUCACGCACAUGUAUAUGCAAGUCCGCAUGCAGGAUCAUGUGAUUCAUUUUACAAAGUUCAAGUGCGAUAAAGUACAUACUCGCUUGUGAAAUAACAAUUUGGAAUCCCUAGCAAUUUCUAGCAACAAGUCACAUUUGAUCAAGUAACAUGGAAUAUGCAGUUAGAACACUCACCACUUGACCUCACCAAUUGGUCACCCUGGUUCUUCUUCUAAAACAUUCUCAAGUCCUAUGAUCAUGUAAUCCACCAAGAGUCUAGCCACUUAAAACCAAGAUGAUUUAAAAAUAUAGGAUUCAAAACUUCACUUAGCAACCACAAAAACUACAGGUUUAACCCUAAUAUUAGAAGACCAAAACGGCCACGGUUUCUUGUUUAAAUCAAAUUCUUAUCAAAAUCAAAUCAAGUGAAAUGUUUCAUAUAUGUUAAGGUUAACACAUCACUAAGUUUUUUAAAUCAAAAUAUAAGGAUUUAACCAAAGAAAAUUAGGUUUAAAACCCAGAAAAGUUUUUCCAAAGUUUCCAAGUCCCACUCAAUCCAUUUGAUAAAAUUUCCAACUUUGGUGACAUUCUUUGAAAAGAUAUAACUUGAGUUCUGUAGAUCGAAAAAUCACAAAACUUAUACUUUUGGGAAAUAGAUUCGAAGUACUAAUAAGAUUUGGAAGACAUCUUCAUGAAAUUCAGCUCAUAGAUUAGUCAAAUUUCAGUUUAAAAAUCACUGCCAUCACAAGUGAAGAAACAGAACAAUCAUGAUUUUGAAGAAAUUUUGUAGAUUUACUGGUCUUUAUAGAAAUUGAAUCAAACCAUAAAUUUUAUAUCUUUGGAAGCUCUAUGAGUCUACUUUCAAACGCAACAAACAGAACUCAAUUCUAACUUUCCUAUACGAAGUUAUAACCAAUUUCCCAAAGUUGCGCAGAGCUUCCUGCAGAAAUUUCUAGAUUUCUAAUAACAUGAGAAAAUGAAACUUUUUUUAAACAAAAUCUCACUCCCUUGGCUCAAAUUCAACAUACAUGCGAAGAUUAAGGUUUACAAAGUAUCUCAAGCAAAAACCUUGCCAAAAUCACAAUAAAUUUUUGGAAAUCAAAGCUGGAAAAUGGCCCUUUUCUAGUUGGAAAACUCUAAUAGAAAUUACAGCAAGUUUUCCCCAAAAUUUCCAACAAAACUUCCAAUUUUCAACUUUAUUUUCUUGGUGAAACUGCUAUCAAUCAAGAUAUCAUGUCAUGACAUAUACGAACCAUCUUGUUAGGAAGCAAACCUAUCAAAAUUUCACAUAUUAAAAACUCUAAACUAAACUAACCAGAUUAUGCACCAAAGCUGGAAAUUGCAACAUAACCUUGACAAACCAUGAAAUCUUCCAUAAAAGUCAUGCCUUUUACCUUAUAGAGUAUCAUCCAUCAAGUAGAUGCAAAGACAAGUGGAGAAAGAUAAGGUUACUAUCAAGUUUACCUCUUGAAUCCCACAAAACAAAGCUAGAAAUUCACAACAUGAUCUGAAAAUAAUGAAAUCCACCAUACAGGUCAUUCCUUUAGUUUCUAUAACAUCAUAUAUCAAAUAAACUCAAAGAUAAGAGAACAUUUCUAACAAAGUUUACGUCUUUACCUCCAAAACCUUAGAUGGACAACCAAGCAAGAAGUACUCAAGGGUUUCUUCCUCCAAAACUUCUCCAAUAGCUUUCUCCCAAGCUUGAUUCAAGUUUUGAUGGAGUUUCAAGAUUUGAUAGAGUAGAUUUAGGUUUCUCUCUUAUUUUCUCACUAAAUAGGCAAGGAAUCAAGGCUAGGAAUGGAUUUGUUUGCUCCCUCUUUUCUCCCCAGAAUUUGUCCGGCCUAGGCACAAGAAAAAGAAAUGUUUGUUUUGUGAAAUAGAAGCUUAGUUAUAAGAGAAUUGGUCUUGGUCUUAGUCGACCCUAGUUAGAUGAUUGACAAGUGGAAAGAAACCAAUUGAUAUCUAUCUAAUUGCCUCCAAAUAUCUCUCUUUCUCCUAAUUAUCUAUUAACACCUCUAUUCCAACAAUUUCACUUGCACAAAACUCCGUCUAAUCCUCCAAAUUUAUCGUACACACCUUACUAGUCGAUCACACUAGUAUAAUACACUAUGAAAUUUAACAUGCACCAAAUUAAACAUGCACCAAGUUAAGUAAGGUAAUAGUAUUAAAAAUACACCUCAAUCAUCAAGGUAACCACAAAUUCAAGGCAAGGAAGGAAAAACAAGAUAAAAGAUAAGAACCUAAUUUGUAGGACUUCACACUCUCUCCUCCUUAAAAAAGUUUCGUUCUCGAAAUUCUAACCUUAACCUGCAAAAACUCAAUUCUACAGGGUUUUCCUUGAUUUUCAAGUGACUUCCCCUUACUCGUGGUGCUAGCACAAACUUGUUUAGAGGGAAAAUCUUAUUGAUGUAAUAGCUAAGUUAACAUACUAAGGAAGGUCAAUGAAGGUGUCAAAAGGUGCAAGAUACUAUAAAUUUAGAACUCGAUACCGUAGCUAUGAAACCUAACGACUCCUACUAGAUCUUGAAAUCAUACUCUAUACAUUGACAAAGAAUUCACAAUAUACAGCUCCUCUCGUGUCUACAAUUAAAUUACUAGCCUAAUCAAAAUUCCUUCCUUACUAAUCACAAAUGAAGAAUCCUUGUUUAAAUCUGAGACUAAAGUGCAGCAAUUGACUCAUGGAUAGGGAGUUGACGCCAACUAAACCCAGACAUUUAAUAUUACUAAUGCAAUCAUCAAGAUUCAAGUUCAAGAUUUAUAGCUAGAAUCCAACUUACUACGUACAACUUUUGCCACACAUAGUCCAACAGAUACAACUCUUCUAGGUAAACAUCAUGAAGGGCUAACUUCGACUAGGACAGCAAAUUUCCCCACAGUUUAAGUCUUUUUUUUUAGCAGUCUCGCACUUGAUGUCCAAAGUUGCUGCAUCUACAAGGCAACAAUUUUCAACUCACACAUUCUAGCAUAAAGUUUGUUACAAUGUUCACUCUUAACAGCUGCAAAGUUCUUCUUGUUCUUUCUUUAUGUCUUUCCGUUUUCUUUCUUCCUUCGUCUUUCAUAGCAAGUUCAUCUUCACUAUGCUUUUUGCGUUUUCUUUCAGUAUCACUCUUGGUUCUAUCAUCUUUCCAAUAUUCACCCACUUCCUUCUAGACCUAUACCUUAUUCUGGAGAAUCUUUAUUUUCUCAUAUAUAUCUUCCCAAUGCGUCAUCUCUUGGAUUCGCUUAAUCUCAAAUGAUAGUUUGCCAAACAAAUUAAACUAUCCAAUGAGUAACUAAUCACACAACCAUAUACCUCGUAAGUUCAUUCGAUUCCAAGCCAUCCAUGAUCAACUAAUCUUUAUCUCUCAAAUUAGCUAAACGAGAAAUCUAACAUAAGUAGGUAUCUCGAGAUACUAUGACACAUAUUCUUGUCAUAACUUUCGAUGACUGCACUAACUUUGGAUACCACAAUGCCAGUUGAAGUACUCCAGGAAGAAGGUGCCUGCAAGGUUGAUAAUGAUCCAAAAUUAGAAUCUACCAAUGCCAAAAGUUUUAAUGAUAGUGAUUAUCACCUUAACAAAGACGAAGAUGACGUGAUUUUUCAGAAAUCUGUUGCUAGGGCUAAAAAGGAGCUAGAAACUGAUCAAAAAAAUGGGAGAAACUCUAUCUGGUGGAAGGACUUGAGGUAGUAGAAAUGAUGCCACAAAACCAGCAACAACAUCAGCAUGCAAGUAAGAAAGUGCCAAAAUGAAAGAUGGGAUCGAUGAUGACUUGAAUCUAUAUGAUGGAGAUUCCAUUCUAGUGCAUGAAGAAUCAGCCUCAAUCAACACUGAGGAGCUACAUAGCAACUAUGAGUCCUCGAAUGAAGAUAAUUUAAAGGAGAGAAAGCCAAAAUAUAUUAGGUUUAGCCUUGAAAUUGACAUGGAAGAUCCAAAAUUUUUUUUGUUGGCUUGUUGUUCAAUGAUAAACAGAUCUUCAAGAGAGCUAUUGAUUACUAUGGUGUGAAAUGGGGAAAAGUACUUCAAUGGAAAAAGAAUGAUAUUAGCAGAGUGAGGGCCAAUUGCAAGGGAUCAAAUCGUGAUUGGUUAAUUUAAGCUUCCAAAGAGGCUGAUAGUGAUGCCUUUGUCAUACGAACCAUAGGACCAUCUUGUCAUUUUGGUAGGAUAUUUUAUCAUAAACAGGUCAAUUCAGGUUUCUUAAGUAGACAUUACUUGGAAUUCAUUAGACUGAACAAGAGGGUGAUUAUUGCACAAUUCAAGCAAAAAGUUCACAUGGAACUCAAUGUCAACAUCAGUAAGGAUUAGGCAAGCAAGACUUUCACGAAUGGUGAAGCUGUGCCCAAACACAUACCAUAAAUUUCGUCCCUAAAUUUGAUGGAAGCUGUGCCCAUUCUUCAGGUAAAUUAACACAUGUAGAUGAUCCAAAGGGCCGACUGAAAAAGAAUCUUUCAAGUCCAAGGUAGAGAAAAACUUAUGAAUAUCCUCUAUCACAGGACAACCCUUCAAAAAUUUCCCUACUAGUAAGAGCUGAAAUGGUGAAGCAUUUGUGACAUAUCAAUAGGAGAAACGACAACUGCAAGCUCUCCCCUCCUAGUUGUCUUGUCAACAUGUAAUUCCAUUUGCAGUUGAUCUUUUGAGGAAAACAAUGAAGAGAAGGAUUUGUUUUGAAAUGAUGGAUGAGUCGUGGAAGAUGGUUGCUCACCAGCCUGGGGUUGAAGAGCAGCCGAAGCAGCCAUGAGAGCACAAGAGAAAACCCUAACAAGGAAAACUAGAGAGAGAGAGAGAGAGAGAGAGAUCAAUCACUGAAAACACAAGGGCAGCUGGAAUGGUAUUCAUUGGCAAGUGCUGAAAUUAUUUUGUACUCAAGUUGUUACUUGGAAAAAGUUCACCUACUACAUAUUUGGUUGUUGGUUAUGAUUGUUAAAAAUUAGAGCAAAGCACUAUUGAAUUUUUUUGUGAGCAGCUUAUUGCAUUGAAAUGACAUAUUUGAUAUCUAGUUGUGGUUAAUUUUGCUGCUGUAUCACUAUCCAGUUUGGUUUCAAGGAUGGGAUUGUUAAAAUUUAAAGCGAAACUCUACUAAAAUUUUUUUUAAACAUAGGAAAUGUUAUUCUUGAUUUUGAUGAUCACAAAGCACUUUGAAAUGUUUAUCUAAUUCUCUUCAAAUAUAAGGGUUUUACUUUUAAGAGAAUCCGGUACAAAGGUGUCAAGGAAAGAAAAUCAACCAAAAGAAGAAGUAAAAACAGGGCACUCAUGUCGGACGUCCUAAAGGAAGCUGUCGGACGUCCGAAAGAAUGAAGAACAUCAAGAAGGAAACUCUGUCGGACGCUCGUAAGGAAGCAUCAGACGUCCGGGAGGAUCGGACGCACGCUUCGGACGCACAUCGAUCGCAUCGGACGUCCGAGAAAUUCUGCAAAGUUUUGAUGACUCUCUGACGACAUUCGGACGCAGAUGCUGUCGGACGAUAAUAUCCCAUCGGACGUUCGAACGACAACUUGGCUGAUUUUCGGACAAUGGGAUCGGACGGUGAUUCAUCUGUCGGACGUCCGACGGCCCCAACGGCUAGCUGACUCUUCAUCUGCCUACUAUCCGUUGGAAGCAUUAUUGAAGCCCAUUUUUGGUCCCCUUUAAAUACAAACGUUUCUGAACCAGUGAGAGACUUUUGCACACUUUGUUUACAAGAUCUCAAGAGAUAUUUUAGUUAGAAAAUAGUCUCCCAAGCUAGAUUUGUUCUCCAAGUGGUGUGAAUUUCUUGUAAGCACUUCUCUUGUGUUUGAAAUUUUCAAUAGUGUAGUUUUGUUGAGGGUUAUCUGAGUGAUAGUAAGACUUCCUAGCUUGACUAAGUGAGACUUGGGGUAAGGAGGAAGUGAUCCCUCCAUUGUACAUUGAGUUGAUUAUUGUUCAUCAAAGAGAAGGUGCUCAUCCUUGUGAUUGGUCUUCAAGUUUGAGGAAAGCUUGGUAGACAAUCGGUUUGAUACUCUAUCUUAUUCUUUUUGUUCAAUAAAAUUCUCAUUGCUUAUAUACUCUCUUAUUUCUGAUCAACAUUGUUCUCUUCUUUAAAUUUACUUGGUUGAUCACUACUAGAAAAGAAGGUACAUUUUUAUUAAAGAAAAAGUGCAUAAACUCAAUCAAGUAAUUUUAAUCAACCUAAUUCACCCCCCUCUUAGGUUGUCUUUGGGCCUUACAAUUGGUAUCAGAGUUUGGUCUCCUUGAGGCUAAGCUCAAUCGGCUUGGAGUAAAGAUGACAACCAAUCAUGCCAUGUUUGUUGAGGGGCAAUCUGUCACUAGGCCUCCCAUGUUUACUGGUUCCAAUUAUGUUAGUUGGAAAGAAAGAAUGAUUAUCUUUUUACAAUCCAUUGAUAUUGAGCUAUGGUUUAUUGUGAAUGAAGGACCGCAUGAUACUAACAUUCUUGAUACAGAUACAGGUUUGUUUCGGCCAAAAACAAGAGUUGAGUUGAAUGCUCAAGAUAAAACCAAUCUCACAUUGAAUGCCAAAGUCAUGAAUGUUCUUUAUAGUUCCUUAGACUCAAAUGAAUCCAUUAGAGUAAAAGGAUGUAAAUCUGCCAAAGAAAUGUGGGAUAAGCUAAGAGAAAUUCAUGAGGGUAGUGACAACGUGAGAGAACAGAAAAAGUCUAUCUUGGUCACAAAGUAUGAAUCAUUUAAAAUAGAACCCCUUGAGAAUAUUGACAAAAUGUAUUACAGGUUCAAUGACUUGAUGAAAGAUCUCGAGGUGUUGGGCAAAGAAUACACCUUGAGAGAGAAAAACAGGAAAAUUCUCAAUGCAUUGGGCAAAGAAUGGGAAAGUAAAGUGACUGCAAUAGAGGAGGCUAAGGAUUUGAAUUCUGUGCCUAUUGAAUCUCUCAUUAACUCACUAACCUCCUAUGAGUUGAAGUUGAAAACUAAAAUGCAGGAGGAAGAGAACGCGAGAGCAAAGAGAAAUAUAGCUCUAAAGGCAGCCCAAGGUGAUGAUGAUCCAGCUCUGUUGGAUGAUGAAGACUCGGAUGGUGAUGACAACGAUCUUGCUCUCAUCACAAAAAGCUUCAAAAGAAUCUUGAAUAAAAGGAAGUUUAGAAGGGGAGGACCUAGCAAUCAAUUCCAGAAUCAGUCUUCAAACGCAAGGAACAAGGGAAAACAAGAAUUCAACAAGAAACAAUUGGAUAAAUGCUACGAGUGUGGACAGCCUGGACACUACGCAAACGAAUGCUCUCUAAAGAAAAAGAAAGAUGGAAAAGCUGAUCGAAAACCAAGGUUCAACAACUUCCAGAUUACAUGGAAUGAAUGCAACUCCGAAGGCGAAGUUGAAGAAGAAGAAGAAUCAGCUCAAAUGGCCUUCAUGGCUAUUGGAGAUAAUGAGGUAACUUCCAUACACUCUCAAUCUGAUAGUGAUGAUGAAGAUGAUGAUGAUCUUGAAUCCUUUGUUGAAAAAUUGUAUAAUGCCUUGAAGGAAUCUUAUGAUAAAAACAAGCAGCUAAAACAAAAAAUUGCUUUUCUCAUUCAAGAAAAUGCAAGACUUUUUCACCAAAAUAAACAACUACAGAUUGACAAUGAGUGUCUUGUAAGAGCCGGAUGUGAUGUUCAAAAUGAACUUGAUAGAAAGACAAGUGUUUGUGAAAAGCGAAAGGAAAGACAUGGUGAUUUGAAGAAAAGGAUGGACUAUUUGGAUGAGACCUUAAAAGCUAGAAAACAAGAUUAUCUCAAAAAGAACAUGUCAACCACCUCUCUUAUUGCUCAUAAAAGAACAUUAGUAUUCAACAAAAAUGCACAUAGUUUCACAACAUAUAAAAGGAGUGGAUUGCGAUUUAUCAAAUCAUUACAUACUAAAGACUCUUCCAUUGUGUGUAGUUUUUGUUGUCAAAGAGGGCAUUUGAAAGGAGAUUGUUAUGUGAAAAGAAAUCUGAACAAAGGAGGGAAAUGCAUGUGGGUAGUUAGACACAAUGCUAACUAUUGAGAACCCAAAAAUAUCAAUGAUGCUUUAAAGGAUGAAAACUGGAUUUUGGCAAUGCAAGAAGAACUUAAUCAAUUUGAGAGAAAUAAGGUUUGGACACUUGUUGAUAGACCUCAAAAUCAACCUAUCAUUGGAACGAAGUGGAUAUUUUAGAAAUAAGUUGGAUGAUAAAGGUGUAGUUGUAAGAAAUAAAGUCAGAUUAGUUGCUAAAGGAUAUGCACAAGAAGAAGGAAUUGAUUUUGAUGAAACAUUUGCUCCCGUAGCUAGAUUAGAAUCGAUUAGAAUGCUUCUUGCUUUUGCUUGCUUCAAAGGUUUCAAAUUGUUUCAAAUGGAUGUUAAAAGUACCUUCUUAAAUGGUUUUAUUGAUCAAGAAGUAUAUGUGGAUCAACCCCCCGGUUUUGAAAAUACAAAAUUUUCAAGUCAUGUGUGUAAGUCCCAACGACAACCAAGAGGGGGGGUGAAUUGGGUUGAUUAAAAUCUUAACCAAUUUUAAGCACUUUUUCUUUAAUAAGAAUUUACCUUCUUUUCUAGUAAUGAUCAACCAAAUUGAUUAGAAGACAAUAGCAAUAUUGAUCAGAAAAAUAAGUAUAGAUAAGCAAUGAGAAUUUUAUUAAACAAAAAGUAAAAUAGGAAAUCAAACCAAUUGUCUACCAAGCUUUCCUCAAACUUGAAGACCAAUCACAAGGUUGAGCAACUUCUCUUUGAUGAAAGAUGAUCAACUAGAUGUACAAUGGAGGGAGCACUUCCUCCUUGCCCUAAGCCUCACUUAGUCAAGCUGAGAAGUUUUACAAACACUCAGAUAACCCUCAACAAAGCUACACUAAUGAAACUUUCAACCACAAGAGAAAAGCUCACAAGAAGUUCACACCACUUUAAGAACAAAUCUAACUUUGGAGACUAUUUUCUAACUAAAAUAUCUCUUGAGAUCUUGUAGACCAAGUGUGCAAAAGUCCCUAUCUGACUCAGAGUCGUUUGUAUUUGAAGGGAACCAAAAAUGGGCUUCAUUAACACUUCCAACGGAUAGAAGGCAUAUGAAGAGUCAGCUAGCCGUUGGGGCUGUCGGACGUCCGAUGGCGUAUUCAUCGUCCGAACCCAUCGUCCGAAAAACAGUCAAGUUGUUGUUCGGACGUCCGAUGGAAUUUUAUCGUCCGAGCUUCAGUGUAUGAACGUCGUCCAGAGAGUUAUCAAAUCUUCGAGGAAUUUUUAGGACGUCCGAUGAUAUUGAUGUUCGUCCGAAGCAUGCGUCCGAUCCUUCAGGGCGUCCGAUGCUUCCUUGCGAGCGUCCGACAGAGUCUUGGCAGAGAGUCAUCAAAACUUUGUGGAAUUUUUAGGACGUCCGACACGAUCGAUGUGCGUCCGACAGAAACUCCUUCCUGAUGUUCUUCAUCCCUUCGGACGUCCGACAGUUUCCUUUCGGACGUCCGACAGUUUCCUUUCGGACGUCCGACAUGAGUGUCCUGUUUUUGCUUCUUCUUUUGGUUGAUUUGCAUUUCAUGACAUUUUAGUACCUGAUUCUUUGAUAGGCAAACACACUUAUAUUUGAAGAAGGUUAGAUAGACAUUUCAAAGAACUUUUGUGAUCAUCAAAACCAAGAAUAACAUUCUCCCCAUUUUUGAUGAUGACAAAACAAAAGUUUGAAAUGAUAUCUGAUGAUUGCAAUAAAAACUCCCCCUUUCUCAAUAGACAAGAACUUCCCCUUACUUAAUGAAUCAUAAAAAGAUUUGAAAAGCUCCCCCUCACUUGGCUGCCCAACCGAAUUAAACAAUUAUCCAAAAUGUGACAAUUUAAGCAGCCAACAUCUAAUAUUCUACCAAUUCAAUCCAUCAGGCACAUCAGGCAAUCAAUCCAAUAUCAUCAAUCAUCAAUAAAUCCAAAUCCAGUCCUCUCCCCCUUUUUGUCAUCACAAAAGGGCAAUCAAUCACAUCCAUCUCAUCCACACACUUCAUCAAUGCAAAUAAAAAUUUGCACAAUCAUCAUUCAACCAAAUCCACACAAUCAUCAUUCAACCAAAAUAUUUAAACAUCGAUCAUAACCAAAAGAAACAUUGUUGAACAGUACUAAACAGAAUAUUUAAACAGUACCAGAAGAAACAUAAACAGAAUCAUAACCAAAUGUCGAAUUCAUCUACAUAGCCAUUGUUGAACACGACAAACAUAUGAAAUAGACCAACAAAAUGCAAAUGUCCUAAAUAGUGAACUAUGUGGAUCCAGGAGUUCUUCGAGAGAGCUGAUAUUGUUGAACAGUACUAAACAGAAUAUUUAAACAGUACCAGAAGAAACAUAAACAGAAUCAUAACCAAAUGUCGAAUUCAUCUACAUAGCCAUUGUUGAACACGACAAACAUAUGAAAUAGACCAACAAAAUGCAAAUGUCCUAAAUAGUGAACUAUGUGGAUCCAGGAGUUCUUCGAGAGAGCUGAUAUUGGGAGAGGUCCUCCUUUUCAGUUUCUUCAUCAGCUUCAGCAUCCUCUUCAACUGGUGCCUUGCCUUUAUCUGCUGUGGAAGGGCCAUGAGGAGUCACAGGAGUUGAUGAACCAGGGUCUGGAAUUGAUGAGCUGGGAUCAGUGGGGUGUGGCUCUUUGUCAUGGGACACUUUCUCAACCACAGGUGGGGGAAAAAGAAGGUUCUUUUUGUCUAUGAAGGCUGUUUGUUGCUCAGAGGACAUGGUGAGCAUUAUACCAUGUUCUAGAAGAAGAACAUGUUGUUUGAGUUCACGAAGGAGCUCAAUCACUUCAUCAUUGGAGGAGGAAGAUGCCUUAGUUGCAGACUUCCUGGGAUGAAUGGGAGUGAGUGAAACAGAUGAAGGAUCAUGUGCAGUCUUAGACCUCUGUUCACUAGAUGAUGCCCCCUUAUAAGCCCACAGAUUAUCUUUAAAAACAAGAUUUUUCCUUUCAAAAUAUCCUUUGGUAAAGGCAUAAGAAGAUGUUUCUUUGGGACAAACACCUAGAAUUGGGACUUUGUAAAACUCAAAAAUCUUUUGAAGAAACUAUCCAUAAGAUAAUUUUCUACGAGAAUCAGUGGCAUAGCGAAGUAAAAACUUGCACAUGACAAAAUCAAAAUCAAUACGAAUUUUUUCUCGAAAACAGUAAAAGAGAUACAACUCCAUUUUGUUUGCAUCAGUUCUAUGACCAUCAGUGGGUACAAGCAGGUUUGAAAUGAUUGAAAAGGCAAUUAGAUUCACAGGAGUAAGAUCAUUCAGUUUAGCAUCAGCAGGGGAGGAAAAACUUCUUUUAAAAUAAGUCAACAUUUUAGCCCCAUCAAAAUGAUUAUCAGCAGUAGGGUGCUCCUCAUAGGAAAAGAAGUUUGCAAUUUUAUCCUUGUAUCCAGGUUCAAUAGUAGUUUUUAAAAUGGAAUUCACAAUUUCAGAAUCAAAGAUUAAGUCUACCCCAUUAACCCUGGACAUGAUCUCAGUUUGGUCAGUGCCUUUCCUAAGAUUGGCAAAAAAUUGAUGCAGCAUUUCAGGAUAAUAGACUUUGGGCAUAGAAACGAGAUGUGACCAUUUCUGGAAAGCAAAUAGACUCAGAAUAGAUUCUAAACCUAUGUGGCGAAAUUCAGAAGAGUUUACAGUUCGUUGAGGGAUGACACCUUUCUGGGAUAUCCAGGAGUGUUUGUCUUUUGCAGCAUCAUCAAAAAAUGUAGGGAGUGGGGCUGAUUUUGGAGGCGGUUGAGAAGAUGUCCCCUGUCCAGAUUCAGGCUGAGAGGAGGGUUGUGGUGUAGGCCGUGACAUUUGACCCUUGAUAGCUCCCCUUUUGAAGCGUUUGGAUGUCCGUUUGACAGUAGGAAAACCCUCAUCCUCAUCCCUGAGUGGAUGCUUGCGUCCGGCAGUAACUUUUCCUCCCCUUAGAUUCACCAUUGUGCAAAAUGUGUGGAAUGAAGGAUGCAAAUGAUGUACACAGCAGUAGGGAAGUGAAUCGCACAGAAAUUUUGGGACACAAAGUCCUUGAACAAGAUUUGACAGAGCGGUUAUGAGAAAGUAGGGUUUUGAGGGAAAUUUGGGAAUUUGCGAAAUGUUUUGCGAUUCGAUGAAAUAAUCAGGAGAAAUGAAUCGCAAUCAAUCAGGAAAAGUUUUGUUUGAGUCAAUUUGGGAAUGAAGGCUUCAGAAUGGUAUGAAUUUGAGAGUGAGAAAUGAGAGGGUUUUCGUCCGAGAGGAAAUAGAAGAGAAGAGUUUGAAGCAAAUGAGGGACAAAGUUAAUUUAAAAAGUGAGCCGUUGCACUGUCGGACGGCCGAACGAAGUCGUGUGUCCGACAGCUUCGUCCGAACAGAUGUUUUCUGGAAAAAAUAUCUGAAGAACAUUAUCGGACGUCCGUUCAUCUUCUUUCGGACGUCCGAAGACUUUGAGAAAUUUUAGGAUGAUUUUUCGAUUAUUCCUAAUUUUGAUCUUAGAUGAAUGAACUGAUCUAAUGGUAGAGCUUUGGUAAAAAUAUCAGCAAAUUGAUCUUUAGAACAAACAUAAUUUACACAUAUUUCACCUUUUUGAACAAGAUCACGAAUAAAGUGAUGUUUUAUAUCUAUGUGCUUUGUCCUAGAAUGAUGAAUAGGAUUUUUGGUCAAAUUUAUAGCACUAGUAUUAUCACAGAAUACAGGCAUGCAGUCAUACAACAAUCCAAAAUCAUUCAAAGUGUGCUUCAUCCAUAAAAGUUGAGCACAACAUGCACUAGCGGCAAUAUAUUCCGCUUCGGUUGUAGACAAAGAGAUUGCACAUUGUUUCUUGCUAAACCAAGAGACUAAACAAUUUCCAAGAAAAUGACAAGUUCCACUAGUACUCUUUCUAUCCACACGACAACCUCCAAAAUCAGCAUCCGAAUAACCAUAUAGUGCAAGCUCAUUAGAUCUAGCAUACCAAAGACCAUAGUCUAAUGUACCUUUCAAAUACCUAAAAAUCCUUUUUACAGCAUUCAAAUGUGAUUCUUUUGGACAAGAUUGAAAUCUAGCACACAAGCAAACAGCAAACAUAAUAUCAGGUCUACUUGCGGUUAAAUAGAGUAGGCUUCCGAUCAUACCUCUAUAAUGCUUUUCAUCCACAUGAUUACCUUCUUCAUCUUUGUCAAGCUUUGUAGAAGUGCACAUUGGAGUUCCAACUUGCUUUGAGUCCUCCAUGCCAAACCUUUUCAGCAAUUCCUUGGUAUAUUUUGCUUGAUUUAUGAAAAUUCCCUCAAGAGCUUGAUGUAUUUGAAGUCCAAGGAAGAAAUUUAAUUCUCCCAUCAUACUAAUUUCAAAUUCACUUUGCAUAGUGGUGGAAAACUCCUUACAUAGAUACUCAUUAGUAGCACCAAAAAUAAUAUCAUCAACAUAUAUUUGCACAAUAAGAAAGUCAUUCAACACUUGCUUAGUAAAAAGUGUGGUGUCCACAACACCCCUUUUGAAACCAUUUUCGAUCAAAAAACCACUUAGUCUUUCAUACCAAGCUCUUGGAGCCUGUUUUAGACCAUAUAAAGCUUUAGAUAGUUUAAACACAUGACUUGGAAAUUUUGUAUUUUCAAAAUCGGGGGGUUGAUCCACAUAUACUUCUUGAUCAAUAAAACCAUUUAAAAAAUCACUUUUAACAUCCAUUUGAAACAAUUUGAAGCCUUUAAAGCAUGCAAAGGCAAGAAGCAUUCUAAUAGAUUCUAAUCUUGCUACGGGAGCAAAUGUUUCAUCAAAAUCAAUUCCUUCUUCUUGUGCAUAUCCUUUAGCAACUAAUCUGGCUUUAUUUCUUACAACAACACCUUUAUCAUCUAACUUAUUUCUAAAAAUCCACUUUGUGCCAAUGAUAGGUUGAUUUUGAGGUCUAUUAACAAGUGUCCAAACUUCAUUUCUCUCAAAUUGAUUAAGUUCCUCUUGCAUUGCCAAAAUCCAGUUUUCAUCCUUUAAAGCAUCAUUGAUAUUUUUGGGUUCAAAAAGAGAAACUAAAGCAAAAUUGUCAAUCAAUUUUCUGGAUGAGGAACGAGUGUUUACCUUCUCGGAUGGAUCACCAAUUAUAAGCUCUUUUGGAUGAUUUUGGCUGAAUUUCCAAGCCUUGGGAAGAUCUUUGAGUGGAUCAUCAUUUUUGUCUUCAUCUUCCUCUUCUUGAUCAUUAUGAACUUCAUUUUCCAUUUCAGUUGCUGCUGGUUUAGAGCUUCCUUCAUUUCCAAUUGAUAGCUUUUCCAUUCCUUCUCGAACACCUACAUCAUCAUCCUCACACGAACUUUUGGAAUUAUCAUCAUUUGUUUCAUCAAAUGUUAUAUGUAUAGCUUCUUCAAUCACAAGAGUCCUUCUAUUAAAAACUCUAUAUCCUCUUUUAUUCUCACAAUACCCCAAAAAUAUUCCUUCAUCAGAUUUUUUAUCAAACUUACCUAGAUGUUCCUUUAGAUUCAAAAUAAAGCAUUAACAACCAAAUACUUUGAAAUAACCAACCGUAGGUUUCUUAUCAAAAAUCAGCUCAUAAGGAGUUUUCUUUAAAAUAGGUCUCAAAAGUAUUCUAUUCAUCACAUAACAUGCAGUGUUUACCGCUUCAGCCCAAAGGUAUUUAGGCAAACUACAUUCACUUAACAUAGUUCUAGCAGCCUCUUGUAGUGUCCUGUUUUUCCUUUCUACAACACCAUUUUGUUGUGGAGUUCUUGCAAUUGAAAACUCAUGUGUAAUACCAUUAUGAUCACAGAAAUCUGGAAAACCACAAUACUUGAAUUCCGUUCCAUUAUCACUUCUAAUCCUAACAAUUUUUAAGCCAAGCAGAUUUUGCACUUUAGCAAACAAUGAAGUAAAAUUCUUGAAGGCAUCAUCUUUAUGAGCAAGAAAUAUCACCCAAGUGUAUCUAGAAUAAUCAUCAACAAUUACAAAACAAUAUCUUUUACCUCCCAAGCUAGUAAUUUGAGUGGGACCAAAUAAAUCAAGAUGCAAGAGUUCCAAAGGUUUAGAAGUAGAUUCACACAUCUUAGAUUUAAAGGAAUUUUUUGUUUGCUUCCCAAAUUGACAUGCAUCACAUAUUUUGUCCUUAUCAAAACUGAUUUUUGGCAAGCCUCUAACCAACUCCUUUUUCGAAAUUUCCUUUAGUAAAUCCAUGUUAAAAUGACAAAGUCUUCUAUGCCACAACCAAGGAUCUUCAUUUAAAGCUUUAAGACAUUUCAAGCUAGAUGAAUCAAUUUUAUCAAGAACCACAAUAUAUAUGUCGUUGAACCUCUUACCUUUGAACACAAUAUUAUAUUUGGAAUCAAGCACAAUGCAUUCAUAUUUUUUAAACAACACAUUCAAGUCUUUAUCACACAAUUGACUAACACUAAGCAAGUUAUAACUUAAGUUAUCAACUAAGAGCACAUUAUGGACAAAAGUUUCACCAUCCUUACCAACAUCACCUAUUCCAAUUGUCUUAGCUUUCACAUCAUCACCGAAUGUCACCUUUCCACUUGAUUUUGAUUUUAGCUUUAUGAACAAGGAGGGAUCACCGGUCAUAUGCCUUGAGCAGCCGCUAUCAAUAAACCAUUUGGACUUGUUUGAGCCUUUUUCCUGAAAAUAGAAAGUAUUUGGUACCCUUUUUAAUUUUUGGGUCCGCAAUAGUUAGCAUUGUAUCUAACUAACCACAUGCAUUUCAUCCCUUUGUUCAGAUUUCUUUUCACAUAGCAAUCACCUUUCAAAUGCCCUCUUUGACAACAAAAACCACACAUAAUGGAAGAGUCCUUAACAUGUACUGGUUUGACAUAUCUCAAUCCACCUCUUCUAUAUGUUGUGAAACCAUGUGCAUUUUUGUUGUGUGCAGAUGUUCUUUGAAAAGUAGUAGGAUGUGUAGAUGACAUGUUCCUAUUGAUAAUCUCCUGCUUUCUUGUUUUCAAAGUCUCAUCCAAGUUGUCCAUUCUUCUCUUCAACUCACCAUGUCUUUCCUUCAGUAUUUUACAAAUAUUUGUCUUUCUAUCAAGCUCAUUCUGAACAUCAAAUCCGGCUCUUACAAGACAUUCAUUGUCAGUUUUUAGUUGUUUAUUUUGUUGAAAAAGACAUGCAUUUUCAUGAAUGAGAAAAGCAAUUUUCUGUUUUAGCUGCUUGUUCUUAUCAUAAGAUUCCUUCAAGGCAUCAUGCAGUUUUUCAACAAAGGAUUCAAGAUCAUCAUCUUCUUCAUCAUCACUUUCAGAUUGAGAGUGUAUGGAAGUUACCUCAUAAUCUCCAAUAGCCAUGAAGGCCAUUUGAGCUGAUUCUUCCUCUUCUUCAACUUCCCCUUCAGAGUUGCAUUCAUUCCAAGUAAUCUGGAAGUUGUUGAAUCUUGGCUUUCGAUCAGCUUUUCCAUCUUUCAUUUUCUUCAUGGGGCAUUCGUUUGCAUAGUGUCCAAGCUGUCCACAUUCGAAGCAUUUGUCCAACUGUUUCUUGUUGAAAUCUUGUUUUCCUUUGUACUUUGCGAUAGAUGGCUGAUUCUGGAAUUGAUUGCUAGGUCCUCCCCUUCUAAACUUUCUUUUAUUCAAGAUUCUCUUGAAGCCUCUGGUGAUGAGAGCAAGAUCAUUAUCAUCACCAUCCGAGUCUUCAUCAUCCAAGUGAGCUGUAUCAUCUUCACCUUGAGUAAUCUUUAGAGCAAUGUUUCUCUUUGCUCUAGCAUCCUCUUCCUCCUGCACUUUAGAUUUCAGUUUCAACUCAUAAGAGGUUAGUGAGUUAAUGAUAGAUUCAAUAGGCACAGAACUUAAAUCCUUAGCCUCCUCUAUUGCAGUCACUUUAUUUUCCCAUUCUUUGCCCAAUGCAUUGAGAAUUUUUCUGUUCUUCUCUCCCAAGGUGUACUCUUUGCCCAACACCUCGAGAUCUUUGAUCAAGUCAGUGAACCUGCAAUACAUUUUGUCAAUAUCCUCAAGAGGUUCAAUCUUGAAUGAUUCAUACUUUGUGACCAAGAUGGCCUUUUUCUGUUCUCUCACAUUGUCACCACCCUCAUGGAUUUUUCUUAACUUAUCCCACAUUUCUUUGGCUGAUUUACAGCCUUUCACUCUAAUUGAUUCAUUUGAAUCUAAGGCACUAUAAAGAACAUUCAUGGUCUUGGCAUUCAAUGUGAGGUUAGUCCUAUCUUGAGCAUUCAUUUCAGCUCUCAUUUUUGGCCGAAGCAGCCCUGUAUCUGCAUCAAGAAGGUUAGCUUCAUGCGGUCCUUCACUCACAAUAAACCAUAGCUCAAUAUCAAUAGAUUGCAAAAAGAUAAUCAUCCUUUCUUUCCAGCUAACAUAAUUGGAGCCACUGAACAUGGGAGGCCUAGUAACAGAUUGCCCCUCAACAAACAUAGCAUGACUGGUUGUCAUCUUUACUCCAAGCCGUUAGAGCUUAAUCUCAAGGAGACCAAGCUCUGAUACCAAUUGUAAGUCCCAACGACAACCAAGAGGGGGGGGUGAAUUGGGUUGAUUAAAAUCUUAACCAAUUUUAAGCACUUUUUCUUUAAUAAGAAUUUACCUUCUUUUCUAGUAAUGAUCAACCAAGUUGAUUAGAAGACAAUAGCAAUAUUGAUCAGAAAAACAAGUAUAGAUAAGCAAUGAGAAUUUUAUUAAACAAAAAGUAAAAUAGGAAAUCAAACCAAUUGUCUACCAAGCUUUCCUCAAACUUGAAGACUAAUCACAAGGUUGAGUAACUUCUCUUUGAUGAAAGAUGAUCAACUAGAUGUACAAUGGAGGGAGCACUUCCUCCUUGCCCUAAGCCUCACUUAGUCAAGUUGAGAAGUUUUACAAACACUCAGAUAACCCUCAACAAAGCUACACUAAUGAAACUUUCAACCACAAGAGAAAAGCUCACAAGAAGUUCACACCACUUUAAGAACAAAUCUAACUUUGGAGACUAUUUUCUAGCUAAAAUAUCUCUUGAGAUCUUGUAGACCAAGUGUGCAAAAGUCCCUAUCUGACUCAGAGUCGUUUGUAUUUGAAGGGAACAAAAAAUGGGCUUCAUUAACACUUCCAACGGAUAGAAGGCAUAUGAAGAGUCAGCUAGCCGUUGGGGCUGUCGGACGUCCGAUGGCGUAUUCAUCGUCCGAACCCAUCGUCCGAAAAACAGUCAAGUUGUUGUUCGGACGUCCGAUGGAAUUUUAUCGUCCGAGCUUCAGUGUUCGAACGUCGUCCAGAGAGUUAUCAAAUCUUCGAGGAAUUUUUAGGAUGUCCGAUGAUAUUGAUGUUCGUCCGAAGCAUGCGUCCGAUCCUUCAGGACGUCCGAUGCUUCCUUGCGAGCGUUCGACAGAGUCUUGGCAGAGAAUCAUCAAAACUUUGUGGAAUUUUUAGGACGUCCGACACGAUCGAUGUGCGUCCGACAGAAACUCCUUCCUGAUGUUCUUCAUCCCUUCGGACGUCCGACAGUUUCCUUUCGGACGUCCGACAGUUUCCUUUCGGACGUCCGACAUGAGUGUCCUGUUUUUGCUUCUUCUUUUGGUUGAUUUGCAUUUCAUGACAUUUUAGUACCUGAUUCUUUGAUAGGCAAACACACUUAUAUUUGAAGAAGGUUAGAUAGACAUUUCAAAGAACUUUUGUGAUCAUCAAAACCAAGAAUAACAUUCUCCCCAUUUUUGAUGAUGACAAAACAAAAGUUUGAAAUGAGAUCUGAUGAUUGCAAUAAAAACUCCCCCUUUCUCAAUAGACAAGAACUUCCCCUUACUUAAUGAAUCAUAAAAAGAUUUGAAAAGCUCCCCCUCACUUGGCUGCCCAACCGAAUUAAACAAUUAUCCAAAAUGUGACAAUUUAAGCAGCCAACAUCUAAUAUUCUACCAAUUCAAUUUUCGGAUCUUACGAAUGAUGCACACAGUUCAAUUUUCGGAUCUUUUCACCAAAUCUCAUCACAUUUCGAAAGAUCCCAAAUUUCCCUCAAAACCCUACUUUCUCAUAACUGCUCUGCUCAAUCAUCUUCAAAGCUUCUUUAACCCAAAAUUCUUGUGUGAGUCACUCCCAUACCACUGUGUGCAUCAUUCGCAUCAUACUUCUCACACAUUUCACACAAUGGUGAAUCUAAUAGGAGGAAAAGUCCCUGCCGGACGCAAGCACACACUCAGGGAUGAAGAUGUGGAUUCUCCUAGGGUCAUAAGAUCAUCCAAACGCUUCAAAAGGGGAGCAGUAAAGACUCAAACUUCCCGGCCUUCCGCUCAGCCUGAAUCCGUACAAGGAACUUCAUCUCAACAGCCUUCCCAAUCAACCACCGUCUCCCCAUUUUUUGAUGCUGCUGCCAAAGAAAAACAUUCCUUGAUAACCCAGAAAUGUUUCAUUCCUCAACGAACCAUAAAUCUUUCUGAAUUCCGCAAGAUUGGUUUAGAGUCAAUUCUUAAUCUCUUUGAAUUCCAGAAAUGGUCACAUAUCAUUUCCAUGCCUAACGUUUAUUACCCUGAAAUGCUAUAUCAAUUCUUUGUCAAUCUUAGGAAAGACACUGAUCAUACUGAAAUUAUGUCCAGGGUAAAUGGGGUUGACUUAGUAUUUGAUCCUGAAACUGUGAAUGCCAUUUUAAAUACUGUUAUUGAACCAGGAUGCAAAAGUAAAAUUGUCAAUUUCUUUUCUUAUGAAGAGCAUCCUACUGCUGAUAAUCACUUUGAUAAUGCUAAAAUGCUAACCUAUUUUCGAAAGAAAUUUUCUGCCCCUGCUGAUGCAAAAGUAAAUGAUCUUGCCCCUGUGAAUCUUAUUGCUUUCUCAAUCAUUUCAAAUCUGCUUGUGCCUACUGACGGUCAUAGAACAGAUGCAAAUAAAAUGGAGCUGUAUCUGUUUUAUUGUUUUCGAGAAAAAAUUCGCAUUGACUUUGGCUUUGUCAUGUGUAAGUUUUUACUUCGCUAUACCACUGAUUCUCGUAGAAAACUGUCCUAUGAAAAAUUCCUUCAAAAGAUUUUUGAAUUUUACAAAGUACCUAUCCUUGGUGUUUGUCCCAAAGAAACAUUUUCUUCUGCCUUCAUUAAGGCUUAUUUUGAGCGCAAAAAUCUUGUCUUUAGGGAUAAUUUGUGGGCGUAUAAGGGGGACACUUCUAAUGAAGCUAGAGCGUUCCUGGGCAGCAAUAUAAAGAAGUAAUGACUUCCCAUAAAUAGGUGCAGACAAAACAGGUGCUUUCAUAAGAUAUGAUUUAAUGCUUCUAAAUACACUACUACAUGCCUUAUCUCAUUAAAAUGACACAUCUUUCUUCAUAAGGCGACUAAAUGGUUGAUACCUCUCCGCUAAAUUUGAGAUAAAUCUCCACAGAUAAGCUAACCGCUCCUUAAGACUUUUCAAUUCAUGAAUGUCACGAGAUUCAUGCAUUCUCAAUAUAGCAUCAAUUUUGGCUCGAUCAAUUUCAAUACCUCGAUGGCGAACCACAAAGCCAAUAAAUUUUCUUAAUGUGACUCCAAAUGAACAUUUGAGACGAUUUAUUUUGCAUUGAUACCUUCUCAACCGAUCAAAAACUUGUCUCAAAUUCUCCAAGUGAUUACUUCUUUUCUUUGAUUUAACAACUAAAUCGUCCACAUAACACUCAAUAUUUUUGUGCAGCAUGUCGUCAAAGAUAUUUUGCAUUGUUCUUUGAUAGGUGGUUCCAACAUUUUUGAGAUCAAAGGGCAUACUUUAUAGCAACAAAUACCCUUAGGAGUACGAAAUGCAGUGAACUCCUUAUCCCCAGGCGCCAGUCGAAUUUGAUUAUAUCUAGAAGAGCCAUCCAUAAAUGACAGAGCUUCAUACCCAAUAGUUGCAUUAAUCAUGAAUUUAGUGAUUGGUAAAGAAAAGUCAUCUUUGAGACAAGCAUUGUUAAGAUUCCUGAAAUUGACGCAAAUGCGAAUUUGCCCAUUCUUCUUUCGCACAAGUACAAUACUCGAAAUCCAUGUUGGAUAUUUAACUUCACGAAUAAACCCAACUUCUAUGAGUUUAUUGAUUUCAAUUUCGAUCAACGGAAUGAAAUCAGGUCUAAAUCGCCGUUGUGCUUGCUUUACAGGUCGAACUCUCUUUUUAACAGCCAAAUGGUGGACGGCCAUUUUUGGGUCUAAACCCGGCAUUUCUUUAUAAAUCCAUGGAAAAAUAUGUUGAUACUCCCGCAAGAGUUCAAUAUAUGUCUUCUUUUCGUCAGGACUCAAUAAAACACUUAUGUAUAUUGGACGUGGGUCCUCUGAAGUACCAAAAUUGAUUUUUUUUUAGAUUAUCUACAGUAGUCAUAACACUUUCUUUUAAUUCAGGCGGAGCGUCUUUAGUAUCUCCUUCCUCUCCAGGAGAGUCACCGUCAAAUAUAGUUAUAUGAUUGCAUGAAACAACACUCUUUUCAUCAUCCUCUUUUGAUCUUGUGUACACCACGGUAUGCUCUCUGACCUUCAACUCAGUCCCACACUUUAUUAUAAGGUCUGUGCAUCUUCUCAUUCUAGAAAGAAUGAUGCUACCAAAUUUAUGAGGACAAUCAGAAGAUUCUUCAAGAUUUUGCAAUGAUUUUGCCAUUUUUCCUUUACUCUUAUGAGAGUUUUGAGACUUUUGUCUUCUUUGUGGUCCUAACCUCUUAAAAACAGAUACCCGUAGAGCUUUAUUUUCCUUUCCAUGAAAAGUUUGAAAUUUACCGGCUAUUUGAGAAGAUUCAUUCUCCACAGCAAUAUAUUGGCUACUAACUCUAUUGAUCUUGAUGCGGAUUGGUGUAGGAGAGGAAUAGCCAAUACCAAAUUUGAGAUUUUCAACGGCAUAUCUUUUUUUCUUUAACAUCUUUUACGUAAGAUUCAACCCAUGAAUCAUGUCACUAGUAGAUUGAGAGGAUGGAACAUUUAACACCGCAAAUUCUUUGAAAUCGUAUCCAGUUUUAGCGAGAACCUUAUAAGCAAUAGGAUCAAAACCUUUUUUGAUUCUUGACUUUGGUAUAGUGUCUUGUUCGACUUCAAAUUCUCUGCUUAAAAGGUUAGACCUUUUAAGUAGAGGAGAUGACGCUUUCUUUGUAUCAAGAUGAGCUACUGGAAGAGUCAAACCUUCUAGAGAUUCAUGCUGAAUUGCAAGUGACUGUCCCUGUUCCAUUCUUGACUUGGGAGGGCAACGAAAGACAACUGAUUCAUUGUUUGACAAUGAAACAUUAGUUUCUUCAUGACCUUCCUCUUUUGAUUUCGAAAUUAUCGCUUUCUCCCCUUCUGCACUUGGAGAUUCGGGGUUAUGGAUUUCAACCAUAGAUAGAGGUUGCUCAUACUUAUCCUUCGCAUUGUGUCUUUUGAUGUAAAAUUUGGCAUCAGCGAUAUAUGCUUCCACCUCAGUGAAAGGAUUAUCAUCAGUUUUUACACUUCUUGCCACCCCAUUUCAGCAGUACUUGAAACAUUGAUGAAAAAUUGAAGGUACAACUCCAUUUUCAUGAAUCCAGGGCCUUCUCAAUAGUACAUUGUAUGUUGUUUUAAUAUGUAUCACGUACAACAGUGCUCUGGACGAGAUGUCAUCAAUGACUAUCUCCAAUGUUAGUGAUCCAAGAGCUCUUUAUCCUCCUUGAUUAAAGUCUUGAAUCAUCAGUCGGCUAUUGGAGAGUUUAUCAACUGGGAUGCCAAGCUCCUUCAGAGUUUUUAAAGGAAGAAUAUUGAUUGCGGAACCUCCAUUUAUCAAAAUUCUAUUCACUUUUUACUCCUUUGCAUAACCAGUCACAAACAAAGGAUGGCUAUACGGUGUUGACCCUAGUGACAAGUCUUCACUAGUGAAAGUAAUACUUGUGAUAUUUAUCUCUUCAUUACCGGUAGGCGUACGGGCUAUUUCACUGGGAGACUCGUGAGUAUUAUUCUUUUGUUCUUCAAUAUGAUCUGCUUGCGUUGUGUGACUUGUAACUACAGCAAUAUCAAAGAAUUCUUUAGACAUGAAUUCCUUUAAGGUGACAGGAGUUCGCGACUUUUGCUUGAAGACUCGAUCUCCUUGAAGAUUACAACAGUCAUUGUUUUUCUUUACGUCUUUCUCUUUCCCCUUCCAGAUCACUAUACUUCUUGUUAAGGCCUUGUUUGCCUUACUAGAUGGACAAGAUUUUCAUCUCUUUUUUCGCAUGACUAGAGUCCAUCCUUCAUCAUCUAUAUCAGGCUGUAACGCCUUUUCAUUUUUGUAUGCAUGUUUUUGAAGAAUUAAAGGAGCACCUUCUUGUUUGAUUUCUAUGGGAUCAAGUGAUCCAAAUUGAAUUGUUGGCAAUGCAGGUACCAUGACCCUUUUAACCUCCAUGGACUGCAGGGAAUCAAUAGACGUUUGAUUCACACUUGCCUUAUCUUCAUCAAGGAGAAUUUUUCCUUGUCUCGCCAACUGCAUUACUUUGUCUUUGAAGGCAAAGCAUUUCUGAAUGGGAUGCCCAAUCAAUUGGUGAUACUUACAAUAAUUUGGAUCUUCAGUGUUCCUGGCCUCAUCAGGUCGCUUCAUCUCAGGAAGCGUGAUCAAGUUUAUACUUAACAGAUCGUCAAACAUACCAGGAACAUCAGAAUCGAGGAAAGGGAACUCCUUGUCUUAUAUCUCCUUGAGAGUCGGUUUCCUCUUUCCUUACUCUUAAUGUGCAUUGAUCUUCCUAUCUUCUCUCCUGGCAGUUUUGGGAACAAUCUUGAAAGGUGUUAUACUUGUAGCCAUAGACUCCUUCUUUUCAUUUUUUAUUGGUGGCUUGCCCCCUCUUCUCACUUCUUGUUUCUCCUUAGUCCUGUGAGGGUCAGGAACUGGUGGUUCUUGUCCAUCAAGAUUAAUUUUCAACUUGUGGGUUUUUGUGGACAAUUCAUCAAACAUUUCUGGUUGUACACCUUGCAAGAUGUAUCUGAUUCCUCAGUGCAUACCUUGAAUACACAUCUCGACGCAAAAGAUUCAGGAAUUCGAUCUUUGCAAUUUAAGCUUAGAUUCCUCCAACGGUCGAUAAAAUCAAUGACAGGUUCAUUCUUCCAUUGACAUGUAUUAAAGAGUUCAGUCAUCUUGAUAGUUCUCUUUGUGCUAUAGAAGCAACUAAGAAAUUCAUGUUCUAACUGCUCCCAAUUGUUAAUGGUUCUAGACUUCAGAUCUGUAUACUAAUCAAAGGCAUUACCCUUCAACGAGCGAACAAAUUACUUAACGAGCAAAUCACCAUCAGUGCUAGCAUUGUUACAGGUUUCCACGAAGUGUGCAACAUGUUGUUUAGGGUUGCCCUUGCUAUCAAAUUGUUGAAAUUUUGGAGGUUAAUAUUCCACAGGCAUUUUUAAACUUUCCACUCUAGCGGUGUAAAGUUUGGUGUAACCAUUAUAUGACUUAGCACUUCCAUCAAUCUUGUCCUUGAUUGUGCUUUUCGAUGAACUCCUUCAGAUUAUCAACAUGAAUGGUGCCAUCAGGGGAGAUUGAAAAUUCCUUCGUGGCUUGUGACUUUGCAUCCUCUUUCUCCUUCUCCCUUGAUGAUGAGUCACCUUCGUCUUGCACUUUGGAUUUCUGUUUGGUCAUACUAAGGCUAUUUUCGCCUAUAUUUUCGACCAUAACCAUUAAUUUGAUUAUCUUGGCAUCUUGACCUUGCGCAUGCACUACUAGCCCUUCGACAAUUUUGGUUAGAUUCGAAAUUUGAUCUUCCACAGUUAUGGUAUUGGUCAUCAUGACGGGUAUCACUACAGAGGCAGCCGAAUCACUUGGCCUAUCAAUGGAUUCAUUAUGAGCUCCUUUCUUAUUGGGAAGCAUCUCAAGGUUUGUUUCUUCAAUCACAACAUUCGCCUUAGCCUUCUCUGCUAACUUCUUAGCCCUGCUUCUUGUCAAAGGUGUCGUAUACUGCAUCUCUUGAGUUGUUGAGGCAUCGGUAACUAAACCUUCAAGAGAAAAGUUCACCUUCUUGAACUCCAUUGAAUUUUCAAACCGGUGAGUUAUUGGAAGAAAAGAGAUGAGAAGCAGAGAUAGUCCCACCGAGCGUGCUAGAAAUUUGUAUGCACAACUUUUGUUGCCUAAAAUAAAAGACAAAAAAACUUGCACAAGUAUCAAAUUUAUUAAAUCGAAUAAUAAGUGGGUUACAAUCUCUGAAAAUUCUUGAAUCAAAGAAAUUAAUCUCCUGAUUCUUCUCUUCGAAUGGCUUCAAUCGAAGGGCUCAAGAAGCUUAUUCCCCGAUCGAAAGAAUAUUUCUUACAAUUUCGAUGUAGAAAACGAUUGAUUUGAUGAUGGCAUCAAAUACUUGAAACUUCAAGUCAUCAACACCGAUAGCAGGAGGAUUUGUUUGGCUUGAUUUCAACUUGGAUUUGAAGAAAAAAGCUCUUGAGAGAAUUUGAUAGAAUUUCUUCCAAAAUUAAGGAUUUUUCUUCUAUAUUUGUCUUGAGGAAAGACCUUUUAUUUAUAGUCAAAAUAUGUAGGCUAAGUCUUUAAGAAAAAAUCCUUAGAACCUCCUUGCUGUAACUCAAGAAACCCAUUUAACUUGGGUUUAAAAAUAGUGGGCCAACCCAAAUGGUCCAUGGUGAAUUAAUAAGUCAAUUAAUUCACUUCAAUUUAAAUGGACAUUACAAAUUUAAUUUGAUUUAAUAGCUCAUAUAAUAUUGGCCCAAUUUGUCAAUCCAAAACAUGAUGGACUUCUAUAAUUUAAUUUAAUUUAAUCAAGAUCAAUUUAAUUUGAAUAAAUCUUGACUAAAUAAAUUAAAUAAAAUUUUUGUAUCUACAAAUGCCCCCACUUCAAGGUUCAAUUGGGACUUGCUUGUCAAGGAUGGUAAUUGAGACUUGAAGUACUUGAUUUUUUUUUUUUUAUAAAAGAAAAGCCAAUUCCUUUGCCAAUUUAGUGGCGAGCAAUUAGAGUCUAGAUUAAUAUGUGUGAUCCAAGAUCAAAAGAAGUCUACACCAUUCACGUAUUACAUGCGAUCUACGGCAAAGUGCAAUGCACAGGAUUAUUCCCCAUGUUAUCACAAUGAAAUUGCUGCAAUUAGUCUCGAACCUCAGUGAAUUAAUAAAUCAAUUAAUUCACUCCAAUUUAAAUGGACAUUACAAAUUUAAUUUGAUUUAAUAGUCCAUAUAAUAUUGGCCCAAUUUGUCAAUCCAAAACAUGAUGGACUUCUAUAAUUUAAUUUAAUUUAAUCAAGAUCAAUUUAAUUUGAAUAAAUCUUGACUAAAUAAAUUAAAUAAAAUUUCUUUAUCUACAAAUGCCCCCACUUCAAGGUUCAAUUGGGACUUGCUUGUCAAGAAUGGUAAUUGAGACUUGAAGUACUUGAUUUUUUUUUAUAAAAGAAAAGCCAAUUCCUUUGCCAAUUUGGUGGCGAGCAAUUAGAGUCUAGAUUAAUAUGUGUGAUCCAAGAUCAUAAGAAGUCUACACCAUUCACGUAUUACAUGCGAUCUACGGCAAAGUGCAAUGCACAGGAUUAUUCCCCAUGUCAUGACAAUGAAAUUGCUGCAAUUAGUCUCGAACCUUAGUGGUUUGGCAAU